AAGCCCGUAGCACCAUCGCCGCCGCCGCCGCCGCCGCUGUAGCCGUCUUCAUCUCUUCCCUUCCGCGUUUCGGUUUUUUAGCUCUCUGUCUCUCCGUGGGUCUAUGAUAUUUUGGGUGCGAUGAAGAGAGUUUGGUUCUUAUAUCGAUCGCCGCUGAUGGUGAUAUGAUGUUUACCUUUACCAUUGGUUCGUAUUCGCUGAGCAUCCGUUCAAGUCUCUCUCUUUCUCUGUGUUUGUUUGUUUUUUUUUGCCAGAUCUGAUUCUGUUUUCUCUUCAUUUGGGCGAUUUGGUUUGGUUAACGAGGGACCUGGGGAUGAACUGCUUUCCUACGUGCGGUAUUGUCCAAGUUUACCCCUCGGAUACCCAUCUGCAUAUGGCUCCCAAAUCCUUUGCAUCGCUAUGUCACUAGUGUUGCAGAUCGGGAUCUCGUUUGCGACAUCAUCUAAUCGAAAAGAUUCGAAUGUUGUUCUUUUUUGGGGUUGAUCUCGCGAAGAUCCCAGCAGAGAGGUGUGUGCACUCCAUGGUUGAGGCCUCUCUAACAAAUCUUUAUCUUCGCAUAGGAAGGAACAGAGGCCGUGAAUUCGUGGAUGUGUGAUUGGUUUAUGGUUCCAUUACAUCUGUAGACACGGUUACAUCUUUCUUGACAUAGCGAGAUCUCUCUCGUCUGGUGUUUAUGAGUGAAGUAAUUGAUGAUUGCUCCUCCCUGCGAGAGCAUCAAGCAAACGAGGGACCUAUGGAUGGACAGCUUUUCCCCGUGCUGUUCAGACCAAGUUUGCCCUCGGAAAGAAUCAUGCAAUCUGGUUACCAAUCUUGCAAAAACCAAACUUUUUUGUAAGACGGAUUUCUUUUGCGACAUUAGCAAGUAGAAGUACAUGCCAUCCUGGGAGGAGCAUAUUGCACUUAGUUAUAGAUUUCUAUUCAUUUGCCAUAUUGGGUUGUGUGUUUUGUGGUGAUCAGGUGAUUCAUGAUUCCAUUUCAUCCGUUAUUAAUAAAAUCACUGUAUUAAUAAUCGCACUGCAUAUGAAUGUUAAAGAUCAGAGACUGGUUAAUCCUAAUAAAUUAUAAUACACGAAAAGUGAAAAAUCAAACCUAAUGGCUUGACAUUCUCGUCGAACCUAAUGGCUACUGGGAGAACUGAGAACUGAACCAUAUCGGAGGUAUUUCCCAGUGAUUGACUAUAAAAAUUUACUAUACUACGCAUCGAACAUAUGUAAGAAUUUACAUCACAGCUUUCUAUGGCUAAACUAACUGAAGCUUUACAUCGCAACAGCCAAGCUAAAAUUACUUAUAGAUGAAUGAUUACAAUAUAAACCGCUUAAUCAAUCCAAGUACAGACUAACAAACGAAGAGAAUCCUUUCCCACUACCAAACUCGUGCUCUACUCCACUGAAUUCCUCUUCUCCACAGCCGCAGGCAAUCCUGGCCUUCCUGGGACCAAGCUUGCAUGAUUUCUACAAGAAGUACGUCAGCUGCUGCUUCUUCCUGGAGCCACCUUCUCCGUAUAGGUCGUUCCAUUGCUUCAGCUCAUUCAUUACAGCACCCUCGGUGGCGAAGCUCGCAGCAACCUGCAUCGUCGAACAAACGUUCAUUGUCACUAAUUCUAUGUAAUUAUACAUGUUAGUCAGGACAGGACUGCAGCAAACUCACUUGAUUCUUUGCCUGCCUCAAGUCUUCCAUCGUCAGUGGCCUGAGGUCAAUUGUCCCUUCAGUUCCACCUUCAGCCUUUGAGUUAUCCUGCUUGUUUUCUGUUUUCUCUUCUUUGUUUUCUGAAUUCUCCUUCCUCUCCUUCUCCUUCUCCUUACUUUCUGGAUUUUCUGAAUUCUCCUUCUCCUUUUUACUUUCAGGACUUUCUGAAUUCUCUGCCGUAGCCGCCUUCUCUUUUGCCUCGUUUGCCCUUCUUUCCUGAGGAAUGAAAAGAUGUAUUAUUAGACAGGUAUGCUCAAGUUGAGCACGAGGUGAUUGUUCAGAAUCGACUAUUGAGCAGUCAAGUCCAAACUUCAAAUUUGAGCAUUAGGGGAGUUACAAUCUUACCAUCUCCUUUUCUCGUUCUCUCUUGAGGAGCUCCCUAACAGGGCGGUAAGCAGCUGUCACACAAAGAUUCUGGUACCCAAAAAAAGGCACAAAGUUUCAGUCAUACAUUCAGAUUCUAUCAACACAGAAGCUUACUACGAACUCAGGUUCAAAGCAAUCCACAAACCUUAAGGUCGCUUCCACUGUAUCCUUCGGUCAUUGUUGCAAGCUCCUUGUAAUCAAUAUCUUCAGCAACCUUCUCUUUUGACAAUAGUGUCCUUAAGAUCAGCUCUCUGCUAUCUAGAGUUGGAAGGCCAACCAUGAUUCUGUUCAACCAAAUAAGGGAAACGAAUUAGCAUCUCAUCAUGCAACAGCAGGUUAUAUCUAUUAUUCCUUGAAAUAAUGGAGCAUCCGAACAAACCUGCGCUCAAAUCUCCUAAUGAUGGCUUCAUCAAGAUCAAAGGGUCUAUUUGUAGCAGCAAGAACAAGGAUUCUUUCACCCGAUUUUGACAGGAGACCAUCCCAGUGACUCAUGAACUCAUUCUUGAUCUUCCGCAUCGCCUCAUGUUCACCGCAUCGAGCGCGCUGUCCUAACAUACUGUCCACCUCAUCCACAAAAAUGAUUGUAGGAGCAACCUUAGCAGCCAAACUGAACAAUGCUCGGACGUUUUUCUCGUCCUCCCCGAACCACUUCGAUGUGAUGGUGGACAUCGAGACAUUGAUGAAGCUGGCACCAGCGUCAUUGGCUAUAGCCUUUGCAAGCAUUGUCUUCCCUGUUCCCGGUGGCCCGAACAACAAUAUUCCCCGGCAAGGCUUAAGAAGUCCUCCUUUAAAAAGAUCGGGCCGUCGAAGAGGUAGCAUGACCAGCUCCUGAAGCGACUCUUUGAUGUCAGCCAGGGCUCCAAUGUCAUCAAAAGUCACUCCUAUCUCACUGGCUGGUAUAACCUCUGGCCUGAUGCGCUUCUCAAACUCGUUAUCUGGAAUUUCCUGUUCAGUAAGAAGAACAGACAGGGUUAAAACUUUAGACUUUGCAAUGGUCACAAAGAACAAAUAGUAGCUUUACAGUCUUGGUAGCAAGCUAUGAAUUCGUAGAACAAAGGGCACAAGGAACUGAAAUACUGAAUACUAAACUUACCGGUUUUGGUGGUGGUAAUGGACCAUCACCAUCUUUAAGUGGCACUGUGGCUGAUUUCUCUGUCUCGCUCUUUUUGGGUCCAGUGGCACCUUUCAGAUCAUCCUUUGCAAACAGGUGAAUUGUACUUAGUCUCAUUAAUAAUUUGGCACACUAUUUAUUUAGCUGCACAAUAUGCUUGCAACCUUAUAUACACAAUUUACCUCUAAUUUCAGAGUCUCUUUCCCACCAAAGCCACUUUCUUGGAAAAUGCUUAGCCCAUGGGACAAACUGUAAAAUAGUUGUACUGAGAAAAUAAGAACAGAAAGUAAUUAUUUACUGAAUAUCAACUUAUCAAGACAAAUUUGAUUGAACCUUUUAGAUGAUAGAACAAGCUUCCCAUUUUUGUAUUCAGGAUCCUUGUUGUGAAUCAUAUGAUACGAGACUGCCGAGACAAUAAUUUCCUCUAUGUAAUUGCUGAGAACCAUAGUAUCAGCUUGGCAGAUUGAGCUCAAAUCAUCACAGUCUAGAUCAUUCGCUGACAGUACCUCUAUGAUGUGGUUUCUAUUGUCUUGAAUCUGGAUUUUCUUUGUGUCUUCUUCCAUUUGAGUUUUCCAACUGUCGAGAUGGGUCUCCUCUUCCGGUGGUUUAAUAUCAACAUGAAAAGGGAAUAGGCUACUAACUCUCUCAUCAACAUCCGUGUGAUCACUAUCUGAAUCAAGUAAUCUGGAGCCAAGUAUCAACACUUGUCCAGUUAACUUGGCUAACAUUUUCUGGAACAAAGAAUAAGUCCUCUGCGAUCUAUGAAGGAGCUGGUCAACAUCCCUUAUGUAAAGAAUAACCGGAUUAUUUUCAGCCACAGAAACCAUGACCUACAAAAGUGGGCAUAGUAUAAGUAAAUCAUAAUCUGAGACAAUCUGACAAGUUCAGUCAGGGUGUAUAAUUACCUUGUAAAGUGACUGUAUCAGAACUUUCUCAUCGAAACACCAGCUACUGGUUCGCCUAGCUGAAACUGCAUCAGUUGGAAAAUAAAGGGGGAAACACACAUAAGAAAUUUCUUCAGCAUAUUAUUAUUCUCCUGUUCUACUAUAUUAAGGUGCCAAAGAGGAAUAAUAUAUCUACUGAAGAUGAUCCUAUUUUUUCUGAAACGCAGAUCCAAAUAUAGUAGGAAGGCCAUACAUACGUCUGAAUUUCAUUUUGAUGGACUGCACAUGCGCAAAAUUAACAUGAAUAAAACAGAAGCAGAAGACAUGGCCAAACAAAGUUCACCUGAAUGUGCAGAACACUGUGAGGAAACGUCGCUAAUAUCAGAAGACAUUGAAGCAUUUUUCCGAAGUGGAGGUGCAUUGCUGGAAGCUUCAGAUCCUCUGAAGAAAAUACAAGGGUGGAUAAAUGAUACCGUAUACUUCCAGCAAAUCCCAGAUUUGAUCAGUUAAAAACCAUGUAUAUACCUGGACCUCACAUCUGCACUGCUUGUCUGACGUUGCAAUGAUUCUGCAUAAGUGUUUCAUGCACAACAGAACAAGAAAUGUCAGAAAUCUUUAAAAGAACAAGAACAAGUUGCACAUGGUAGGGAAUUUUCAUUUCUUUAGUUAGACACUAGAGCAAUACUGAAAUAAUUUAUUUUAAUAAAAACAAAGUAGCACGAAAUAAUUUAAUGUACUGAUACCUCUAGGUUCAGCACUCUUUGGAAAUAUUGUGAAAGAUCCAAUCAAAUCAGACAUCCUCCCAAAUGUGGUCUCAGAAAUGGACUGGCUUUGAGCCUGUAGAAACAUGUCAAACAGCAUAUCCAUGAGCAUCAUCCGAUUAAAAAGAAACAUAUGUAUAAUGAGCUAUGCUAGUAUACACGAGUGUGUGAUCAUGAUGUAUUGAUCUGCGCCUAUUUUCCUGGAUCAAUCAGAUGGGCAACAGGCGAGAUCAACCUGGAACCCUGUUUUCAAUAUCUUCAUUUGCCAAAGUAAAAAUUACUCCAACCAACAGAACAGAGGGUAGCCACUGAGAUGUUGGAAUUCUAUUCCUUACUAAAAACAUGAGACUACAACCAUAACAUCCUGUGUAAAUUAUCCACGCUUCUCAGUUCCAUCACAAAGGAAAGAAGUAUGGACGUUGUAAGUUGUCACUCACCAAGCCUUUGCUGGAGCUCCCAUAUUUGCUUUGGAUCUGCAACAGUAUUCAGAAACGGGAAAUUCAGAAUGCAAACAUCACAUGUAUCAUAUCAAGCGUCCAAGUCUGUAACAGUUUUCAGAUUAUUACCCGGAGAGAGAAGUCGGUGACAUCCAGGAUUAGCAACUGUGCCUUGUAAUAGUGCGACAGAGCUCUCGCUAGGGACUGCAGGUAGGGCUCUGCACGCACAUUGCGGACAGAUUCAGUCAACAGCAGCUAGCAAGGUGACAGUGUCCACGAGAAGAAACGGAGAUCAAUGUGAUCCAGUCUGAAGUGCAGUGCAAGCAGCGAACAUCCACGAACCUGUUGGGCCAGAGAGCAGUAUCGCGCGGCUUGCGGCGCAGAGGUUGCGGAUGUGCUUGGACAAAUCCGCUUGCUUCAGGUGAACGAACGCCGCGCUGAUGAGCACCUCCUUGGUCCGCUCGCUGCAAAAUCAAACACUUGUACCUCUUCAGUGGCUAUCCAUACAGAGCAGAGCAGAGCAGAAACAGAGGCAGAAAUCUUGAACAAAAUUUACAAGCUAGUAAACUAUUCAACUUUAAACUUUUUCUUAGAACACGAGACGCCAAGUCACCAAAUGAUGCAUCGACCUGUAAAGCAUACGCAUCUAGUGGUGGUAGCAGUAGAGAGUUGCAGCAAAAAAGCCAUCAGAUGAGGAAGUGUCCAACCAAAUCAUUCUCGUAAUAACGACAACCCAAAAAGGCGAUCGAGAUCGAGAAAGAAAAAAAAGAGAAAAGAAAAAUCAAACGCCACAACUUUCCGCGAUGGAUCGCACGAAACACCAGCGCCGCGAAGCGAAGCCAACCAAACUCAUCCUCGCCGUACCAACCUGAGGUAGUAGCGGAAUUCGUCGAAGGUGACGUCGCCCUCGCGGCCGUCCACCACCAGCCGCCUCAGCUCCGCCUCCAGCUCGGCCACGCCGAUCCCCGCGCCGCCGCCGCCCUCGCCGCUCCCCGGAGCUGCCCACCUCGCCGACGCGAGCCCGAGCCCCACGCCGACCCCGACGCUGAGCGCCGACACGAACAGGUUCCUCUGCUCCAUGGCCGCGAAACCCUAGCCCCCCACGCGAUCCAACGCUCGAAGAAACUUGGCUACUACUAGUAUCACUACGCGAAGGCGAGUGGGAAGCGGAGGAGAGGAGAUGAGAUUUUGAGUGCGAAGGAAAUGAGGCAUGGGGGAAAGGGUUGGUGGGGUUUAUAUAGGGGAAGGCCCAUGGCGGAGCCGAACAUGGUAUUUGUUUAAACAGUGGAAUUUGUAAAUCUUCAUAAAUUUGUACUUCCUCCGUUUCACAAUGUAAGUCAUUCUAGCAUUUUCACAUCCAUAUUGAUGUUAAUGAAUGUGAAAAUGCUAGAAUGACUUACAUUGUGAAACGGAGGGUGUCUAGAUACAUUAACAUCAAUAUGAAUGUGGGAAAUGCUAGAAUCACUUAUAUUGUGAAACAGAGAGAGUAGUAAUUUGUAAAUUUUAUAAAGGGAUGAGUUAAUAGCUAUUAUUGGGUUUUUUAUCUGUUAAAAGGAAAAAGGCUAGUGUUUGAAUAUGGAGACAGCUCAUUUCUGGUAGAUGGAGUGUUGUAUGGAGGGGAAUUUGUAGUGGAGAAAAAUCCAAUUUGUAGCAUAAUUUUUGUACAUUGCCUCAAGGCAAGUGAUCUAAAACGGCCACUUUGAGUGUGAGGUGAGUCAUGCACUUUGAGAUGUCCAUGGCAUGUGAAUUGUCUUGGUUAGGGUAUCUUUUGUCUACCCAGAGGAGGUAACGCCUUAAAAUGGUUUUGCCAAGUGUACACAUAAUAGAUUAACCAGUGACAGUUCUAGGGGUGUUCCACGGAUCACCUCAAUUUUUGCCUAGAAGGAUCCAUUUCAUUAGCACGGCCCAUUCAACUACUUGUAUUGCAUUUUUGUAAUUUUUGGGCAUAAAUGCUAGUUUUAAUAUGGAUAUGUAAUAUUAUGAUAUAUUUGUGUCAUAUUUUGCGAAAUGGCUUACUCUAUACUAUUUCCAUCUAAAACAACUUCAUUUUCCAAUAUGUAUCUCAAUACAUCAUCGGAAAUGAAAAUUUUUUCGAACGGAGGUAGUACCUAGCUAUAUCGAAUUAGUUUUCAUAUUUUAAGUAUGACAAAAAUUGGCCGGUGGAAUUAUGAACCACACUCUGUCCUUUUUUUUUUCUAAUCAAUUUGUUACUUUCUACAUUACAUGCAAGUGUUGUUUUCCACUUACACUACCACACUUUGCAUUUUUUUCUCCCCAAUGCAUUUGACUGUUUUUAUUAACAUUGUUGCUUUCACGCCUUUAUCGAUCGACAGGUAAUGUCUUUUAUUUAUUUAUUUUGGGGUGGUAAGCGACUUUGGUACGUGCAGGUAGCGAGGGGUGACCUGAAUUGCUGAGUGUAGUUUGGUUGUCGCCUAGCCUGCACUGAUAUUGGGAAACGGACGAGCACGCUUUAUAUAAAAUUGAAGCUAGCCAAGCAUAUGUAUAUACUCCAUUGAUGAAUUGGAGAGUGAGAGAGAGUGGUCGGCGUCGUGUGUGUGAUGGGCCUGACGUGUCUGGGUCGGACUUUGACGUGGAUCCGACACGGCAACCGGUCCACUUUUGCACUCAUCAGAGACUCAAUCAAAGACUCGGUCCAUCGGUGAUCGUCUACGUUGCCAUCGCCAAAUCACACUCGAAUAAUAUUGAUGCUUUGUGUACAAUGCAUAGACACGGCCACCUAAUUAACUUUACUAGCCAUCAAACCAUACAUUGCACGGCUGUAAUUAUUGAUAUUUUUUUAAAAAAUAAUAUGUUUUUAUUUAAUAAUUUUGUAUAAUAUGUACAUAUCAAGUUUUACUCUGUUUCGAGUCUUCUUAGUGCGCGGUAGCUUUUUCAUCUUUUGAAAAAUUUGCAAUUAAAAAAAUGAGUUGGAGUCGGUUUGCGGAAUCUUAAUUUUCUACAAUAUCAUUCACUAUAUGAGAUUUUUCUGGUUCACAUGAGAGUAAGAGGUAUCGAAUUAGAUAUAGGUAGAUAUAUGCUCAUGAGUACAACCUUAAGCUAGCAAGUUAAUCACUAAUUAAUUAGCAAAGGAACAUUCAUGUCAUGUGCGAUCGACUUAAGCUGGCUUGCCUAGUCUCCAUCUAUCACCAACACAGGUCCACAAGACCACAACCUAGCUAUUAGCUAGCUAAGCUAACAUUAUAAUUCCAAACUUAAAGACAUUGUUCUGCGUCUCUCAUAUAUGCUUAUACUCCUAGUUGAUCUUAGUUUAUUAAGUCCGUACAAACAAAACAACUUUUUAUUGAGUGCAUGCAUGCAUGUGUGCACUAUAUAUGGUUGAGUGAUACAUCCAACAAAUUGAGCUUCUCGAUUGGUCGCUGUGUUAGGUCAAGUUCUUAAAAAAAAAAUAGUUAGAUGGCGCCCUAGCUUGUCAGCAAGUGCCAGCCAUGAGCUGAAAGUACAGAUAGAUUGUUUGUUAAUUAAUCUGAGAAAAGUACACCUAGGUUCAUUCAUUAUUUCAUUUCCAACAUUACAUCCCAUUUUAGCUGGAGAAUUAUGUACGUCAAUCAUAUUGUUUUCAUUAAUCUCCCAAAUUUUGUUUUGUACCUAUACUAAUUUGCCAGAACGGCACAUGCAUGCAUGAUGAUUAUAUAUUUUGUGCAUGAUUAAUUGGCGCAUUAUUCAUCAAUGCCCUAGCUACACGUACAAACAAAGAAAUUAAUUGGGAAAAAAACUAAGAUUUAAUUUUGUUUAUACCAAGGGAUAAAAACGAAUUUUAGCAGGACAAUUAACCUUUUCAAAGGAAAGUAUAUAGGAGUAAUUAGCACAUUUGUCCCACUGUUUGAUUGAAAUUAAAUGACAGUAGUGUGGGAAGCGCUAAUGGUACGGGGUAGAGUCGUGAGUGCAUGACAUUAUUCACUAAGGUUUAAACUGUGAUAACCAUAAAAGUAUAUACAUAUGCUUUUAAUGAGAUUUUAGCGAUGUUAGGGAAUCGUGUGUUAGGGGGGUACACUCACGGUUGUGCGAGUGUGUGGUUUGCUUGCGUGGUUGUGUGUAUUUAUGGCCCUGUUUAGUUCACACCAAACUUUCCCCCAACUCCCAAUUUUCCAUCACAUCACAUCACAUCCAAAACUUUCCUACACACAUAAACUCCUAACUUUUUUUUUUCAAACCACCAACUUUCCUCAAACUUCUUCCCAAUUUCAAGAACUAAGGGCCUGUUUGGCACAGCUCCAGCUCUAGCUCCACCCUUCAUGGAGCUGGAGCUUAGCCAAACAGUUUCAGCUCCACCAAAACUGGGAGUGGAGUUGGGUGGAACUCUCUCACAAAAUGUACUAGAGUUGUGGAGCUGGGUUUAGGUAGCUCCACAACUCCACUCCAGACUCAACUCUUGGAGCUAUAUUUAGGAGCUCGAGCUGUACCAAACAGGCCCUAAACACAUCCUAUGUGUCUUUUAUUAAUAAAAAAAAGGAAACGACGGUGCAGAAUUGUACGACCCACACACUUAUGAAAUGACAAGCAGGAGAAAGGUGUGAUGUGAGUUAGACGACUAAAAACAAAUUAAGAAGGUAAAAGUUGUGAACGUGCAAAAGGCAAAAGCUAACACACAAUUCAUCAGUUUAGUGCUAAACGCACGGUAGGAUCCAACUUCCAGCUGGUAGUAGCUAAUAAGUUACUUUGCAGUUGCAUGGUACUUUGCUUUAAUGCGGUACAGAAUCUUUGCUUGUCUGGAAAAACAACAUUUUUGUCAUCAAAAGAUUCUUUGAUGUUCAUGGUUAAUUAAGGGAUCUCAAAGUACUUAAGCAAAAUAUAUAUGGUUUAUUAAUUUGCUAGCUAAUGAAGAAUGGACACUAUGUAUACAAAGAUUAAGGAUCAUUUGGAGGCUAAAAAUAAUUAAACCUAAUUUAUCUUGAAAAAAAAUCUUCAGGUGUUUCAUUAAACACCACUGUGUGUGUAUGAGAGAGAGAGAGAGAGAGAUUGCUGGUCGGAAAAGUAUGAGCACCAGAAGUUAUAUAUAUAUAUAUAUAUAUAUAUAUAUAAUUGGUGGGCACUCUCCCUUUUUAAUCAAAAUCAACAUUCUUUUGUUGUUAAUUUACCAUCCACGCAGAAUUAAACAAGAGUCAAUUGACAACUGGAGAGGCUGACUAGCUAUUGGUGCCUCCAUUUCGGCAAAGUUGGCACUUGAUCUGCCACCUAACUUUUCUUAAACAAAACACAAAUCCUAAUGUCUAAAACAAACUACCACUUGUUGGGUUGUACGUUCGUGAAAGAUGAAAAGGUCAAACAAAGUUGCAUGCACUAGCUAUAGUUAAUUGCUUGAUCUAUCACUAGCUGCAAAUGCAAUGUAUAAGAAGCAGCUCUUUCUGCAGGGUUAAUUAGCGACCAAGUCAUCUCAUCAGUGUGUGGGUGGGUGAUGCGACCUUAAUUUGUAAAAUUUACCUUUUAGUUAAUUUUCUCGAUCGAUCGGCCCUCAACUGCAGUGUCGCUCUCCUGCUUUUUGGCUAUCUUUUGUUUGAUAUGGCAACUUUCAAAUGGUUGCUUUCGAGUGGCACAUUGAACGACCCUGCAACAAUAUUCGUUACUUGAAGGAAUCCACUUGGGACUUUUGAGCCAGCCGGCGCAGAAUAGGAUCGGAGUGUAGCUGCAGUUUUGCUUGGGGAGGAAGAGUACUCUUAAUUGCUCUCCUCUACUUGAUUACUAGUAAACCACUUUACGGAAAAAAGGUUGAAUUACCUACUCAGUUAUACCGAUUGUCCGAAUUAGUACCAUAUAAACUAUAUAUAAAAUCAAACAUUCCCCUUGACUCAUUAAAAGAGUAUAUGUAGGUAGUUCAAUAUAUUUUUUCCUAUUGUAUAUAUUAUAUAGGAAUGCUUUCUAAAACUAUGUUCAUCAUUUAAAAAAUGGUACACAUACAUUUUUAAUAUAUAUAUAUAUAUAUAUAUAUAUAUUUAUGUACAACAAACUUAUGAAUACUAUAAUUACACAAUAAAUUUUAUACUUCCAACGAUAUAGUUUAUAAAUUUCUACAUAUCCCUCAUAUAUUGAAGGGUAGAACUGACUUUUCUAUACAUGUUGAACGAUCAACUAACGGUCAAUUGACGGCAAGGGUAUGAAAAAGAUCCAAAUCAAAAUUCAGAGGUAUAUAAGAGAGAAAAAAAUUCAGGGACAUAGAAGAGAUCGGCUAACAUUUUAGGGGUAUGGAAGGAAUUUGCUCUACCCCAUGUGUGAAAGGCCCGGGGGGGGGGGGGGGGGGUUGAGCUGGUGAGUGUCUACUAGGUGCAGCAGAGCAGGUGCAAAUUUGCAGCUUGGCUCUGAAACUUGGUACUACGGUCUUCUAUACGUGUCGACGGGCAGUUCGAUCAAUCGAUAUAUAUGGUGGUGUCCCUCCAUCUUUACUCCAUGCAUGCAUUUUUCCUUGGAUCCAUCGUGCGUGACUGCGCGCAUGUGCAUAUGCGGCUUGUCCUGUCCACCACCCAUGGGCGUCUCCAGUCCCUCCGCCUUCACACACAGAUCGACACAGCAGCUUCAUUCUCUUAUGAGUACGUACGUGCGUGCUGCCUCGAAUGAAUGCAAUAAUUCGGUGUCCAUAAACGUACGUACGUCUGCACCACAUCAUGGCUGUGUUUAGAUCCAAACUUUCAACUUUUUCUAUCACAUCAACCUGUCAUACACACACAACUUUUCAGUCACAUCGUACCAAUUUCAACCCAAACUUUCAACUUUGGAAGGAACUAAACACAGCCCAUAUGUUUAUACUACUUCAUCUGUCCUGUAAUAAGUUAUUUUAGUUUAUUUCAUUUGUUACAAAAUAAAUUCAUUUUUAAAGUAAUUAUUGCAUCGGAGUUUAUAUAUGAAAGUAGAAAAUAAUUGUAUUGCGAGUAGAUGAAAUAACAAAUAACUAUAUAUGGAGUAAAUAAAAUAGGGAUAUUCUAGUACGUCGUUUUUUGAGUUUAUAUUGGUAUAUAUGAGAUGGAUGAAAAUUGAGCUUAUUUUGAGAUAAAGGUAGUAUAUCCGACGUCGGCAUUUGCUACCUCCAAUAAUCAUAUAUACUGUACCACACCAGCCGUAACUGUACAAUCAAACUAAAGCUAGCACUGAUACGAUCGAAUAUAUGAUCCAUCCAUCCAUAUCUGGCCGGCCACUAGGGUGACUUGUACUGUUACAUGCAUGUAGGCCAUGGCAAAUUGGCAAUGCAGUUCCCAUAACCUGUGAGGAUAAGAUGAUACUACAGCUUAUUGUCCGACUGUACUCUCUCUGCACUCUGCAUAUGCAUCUGCAUCUGCAUCUUUGAUCGAUGUUGGGAAUAUUCGUAGUGCGUACUCCUGUUCCACUGCGUGCAUUUCUGAUUAAUUGAAAGAAUUAAUAGAUCAAUUCAUCGUGUACUAGCUGUACCGCUAUGUCACUCUGUCGUCUCAGUAAAGUAUAGCUACUAGCUAGUAGGAGUAUAUACAUGUUGGUGCAGUUGUUAGGUCCUGAGAAUACUCUACGUAUACGAUCGAGAGUGCCUUUUAAUUCUGCUCCAAUGAUCGAUCAUCUUAGUUCAAAUUAAUUAAAGAGUAGCUAGGUCGAUCUACCAGAUAGCAUAUGUUUCUCUGGUUGGCGCACUAUUAAUUUCUCAUCGAUUCUCUAGCGCUACUCAGAUUGGUCCAUUGUUACUGGUUGAGGUAAAUUAAUCCAACAGUACGUAAUCACCCUCUUACUCCAUUUUUUAAGGCUAAUCCUCUCUCCUCCUGAGAUGUAAACCAAUUUCAUCCUCUUGCACUCAGAAUAUGUCACACAUAUAUAUCCCCCUUUUUUUUAAAGAAAUUUGUAAGAAUCAUUUUGUACCCAUAUCAUUUUCCUUAUUUCUAUAAUGAUCACUAUCAAUCACAUCUGUAAUGAUCACACAUAUCAGUUUUUUUUAAGAAAUUUGUAAGAAUCAUUUUGUACCCAUAUCAUUUUCCUUUAUUUCUAUAAUGAUCACUAUCAACCACAUCUCUAAUAUUCAGCCACCACCUACAUACAAACCCAAAAUUCGGCUCACUAUUUAUUUCUAUCUAUAUACUGCUACUAGUUAGAGACAAAUGCCAAGCACGAAACACCAAAAAUUAGGUCAGAGACUACAGCAAGCUGAUUGCUGAGGCCGCCGGGCCCUGACAAAAGUAAAGAGAAAGACCACCCUCAUACCAUGAACCUUCCAUGGUAUGGAAACAAGGUAUAUAGUAAUUUUAAGCUAGCCUUUUUCACUUUUCAGCUUCGAAAUGGAGUGGAAUACAAAGUGACUAAAUUAAGCUAAAGGAGUGGCGAGAGUGUAAAGGCUGCAAUCGAUUUAUAAGUUUUGAAAGGCUAGCCAUUCGAUCUGCUAUGUAGAUAGUGCGUGUCCUAUUAGGCCAUUACAUCCAUACACAUGCAUAAAGGCACUUUUGCCACCCUGGACUAGCGUGCAACACACAAGCGGCUAUCUAUCAGCACUAGUUUCUGCACCGGCCGGCCCGGGAUUGGAAUCCAUGUUUGACAGGGACCGGGAUCGUGUGUCGUGUCAAAAAGAUACAAAUUUUCUUUCCAAUCGAGUUGAUACCACACUUGGACCUUUUUCAUUUUAAGGAUUGGAGAGAAAUGAGAGGGAUUAAUUCCACACCACAAGCUCUUAAUUAUUCCUCUUCAACCCCCCUCGAUCUUCUUGUUGGUGGGAUUAACCGAACAAGCUCUUAGGGUUGGUAACGGGGAAUUCCCCGUCAGGGAUACGUCCCGAUACCCUCCCCGUGGAGCCCAAAUCCCCCUCUUCUCCACCGCGAAAUGUGACAUGCAACAUUUUUUCCCCAUCCCUGACCUCCGCGCGGGAAUUUAUUCCCGUGGACCUUCCGUCCGCUAUCAGUUCAUCACCAGCGCAUCCAAAGCGUGCAGAGCAUCAUGCAACAGUGUUGCAGCAGGUUUAGCCAACACGUGCAUCGUACCAUAGCAUCAAUGCGUUACCCUUCCUUAGAUGCGGAGGCAAUGACUCUGGCUAGGCGCUUGGCGCGGGCAACGAUGGCAGCUCCGGGCGGAGCAAGAUGUUGGGUGAUGUAUGGCGCUGAAUCGAUGUGAUUGUGUUAACGUUUGGGGUAUACAAAAUGAAACAUGAGUCUUAUAUACUCCACUGAUUAGGCCUGCUUGUUAUGGGCCACUUGGGCCAAAUAUACUGGAAGUGAAGCCUCCUACUAUUUUAAUCGGGUAUCUAUGGAGAGUGGGGAUAGGGACGGCGAAUCAUACUCACCCCUGCCGGACCUGAUGGAGGCUAUUUCCUCUCCAUUUGAUUCUCCAUGGAGACAAUCAAAACCAUCCCUGCCUCCUAAUAGGAAAAUUCCCCACGGAAAAACAGGAAACGAGGCUCCAUUGCCAUCUCUAAUACCACUGGCCAUGGCAUGGGAUGUUUCUUUUUAGAGGGGUAAGCAUAUGAACAAUCAAAUAUAUUGAUUAUCGUGGUUCAACUAUAGUUCCAUUAUCUUGAACUUUUAAGCAAUUUAGUCAUAGGUUUUGUUGAAAUUUAUCGAGGUAUGUUGAUUCUAUCUCUUUUAUUAUAGCUGGAACAUGGGUUCUUUGAUAUAAGUGUACACUUGACGUGGUCACUGAUAUAUAGAACCCAUCACCGACAUGCCUAUAUGUGAGCCAUAAUGUGACAUUAUAUUAGAAGAUCUGGUUCCAAUUGUAGUCUAUGACUAGAUGUGCACAUAUGUAUCUUCCCUAAAUUGGUAGACACCGACAGUAAAUCUAGGGUUUAAAUCUUGAUGUGGGUCGAACACCUAAGCAAUUUGGCCAUAUAUUUUUUUUCCACCAAUAUUUUGGUUAAUGGGGUGCGUGCAUCAUGCUUUCUCCAUAUAUAGUUGACAAGAGAAUUAGAGCUAUUCAGCUAGUGGGGCAACUUGUGCUAGUCUGCAUGCUCUGUGUUCCCAUGAUAUGUGCAUGUCGCCCUCCAAGGGAAAGCCCACCGCAUCGCGCGCGGCCACUUCUCAUUGGAAACUAUAGUUAAUUAAUAUCGUAGGAUGGGGACAGAUCGGUAUAUAUUACUUGUAUGAGGAAUUAAUUAACAAAGAUUGAUGAGGGAAUUAGGCCGAAGAAGCGAGCAGCCAAUCGGAUCAGCUGAUCCUCGAUCGUUCGAUUGGCUAUAAGCUGUCUGAUCAGUAAUCCAAUAAUCUCAUAAUAUUAGUAGUAGUAUAAGGGAUUAAUUAGGAUAUUUUGUAUUGUGCCUGCUGGAGAGACGACAUGGAUAUGAUAUAGUAUAUAUAUGCUGUUUGAUCAGUACUUUGAUACAAUAUAGUGAGUGGUUCUAUAUAUUAUGUGGAGGUCGCACAUGCAAGGCUCCAAUGGCAACUACUGAUGAUCAUCGAUAAAGUAAUUAAGCUGAGAUCGAAAUAUAUGCUAGCUGCAGUGUGCAUUGCAUGCGUCCAUAGCCACAUGUACUCCAUAUAGCUUAGCUAGGCUGGCCCUCGAUCUCGUCGUCCUCGGACGACGACAGUGUACUAGCUAUACCUUACUCCAGUACUAGCAUGCGUAAGCAUAAUAUAUAUAUUAAUAUUGCUUUUGGAGUUGUGGUUGAUAUGAAUCGAUCAUCACAUGGUGAUCGAUCGAUGGAUGGAUAUGGAUCAUAUAUAGUGCAGUACUGCAGGCACCAUACCUACAACUUGCAUAUACUAGUGUGUACGGUAAGAUCGAUCAGAGACCAGAUCAACACUACUGUGGAAUCCGAUCGAACAUAUAUGCAUGAUGGAAUGGAAUGGAUCCGGCGCCGCCGCCCUCUCGAUCUGCUUUGUCGUCCAGACACCGACAUAUAUGCACCGGCGACAUAUACUACAGGAGCUAGCUAAGCUGUACUAUAUAAUACUCCCUCCGUUUCAUAAUGUAAGUCAUUGUAACAUUGUCCACAUUUAUAUAGAUGCUAAUAAAUCUAACCACAUAUAUAUGUCUAGAUUUAUUAACAUCUAUAUGAACGUGGGCAAUGCUAGAAUGAUUUACAUUAUAAAACGGAGGAAGUAAUAUAUAUCGGAGCUUAGCUCUAGCUCACUAUAUAUGUAUGUAGUGCAAUGAUACGAUCCUAAGUGAUGGAUUAUUGGAACGAACGGAGAUGUAUGCGUGUGUGUGGUCCUGAAUGCGCAUGCAUAUCAGCUAGCUAGUAGCGUAGCGGCGCCACAGUGUUGCAUAUAUCAUCUGAUCGAUCGAUAUUGUGAUGUUGGUCCCUACCAUGCAUGCAUAUAUACACCGUUCGUUUGUAUAUACAUGUAGUGCGAUGAUAUGAUCUUAAGCGAACGAAGAUGCAUGUGGUCCUGUAAUCAGAUGAAAAAGUCUUCCUCUUCUUUUGGAAGAGAGUUUGUCGUACGAGCGAGUGGGUAUAUGCGCGCUGCUCCUAUGAGGACUUGCUCUCAAAGAGACGGCCCAUGCAUCUCUAUGGAUGUAGGCCACACUGCUAGGCCGUCAGGAAUGUUGGGCUGGAAUGAGGCCUCAAAAGUUAAUUAUCAAAUGUAUUCAAUGUUAAUUCUCAAUUGUUUUUGUUCUUUAGAUGAUUGAUAAGGGUGUAAAUUGCCUCUCCUCUUCCAAAAAAUCACACCAUAUAUCUCAAAUAUUUACUCUUUGUAUAUUGAUGAGAGGUGCAAGCAUAGAUAGUUGACGCGGUUAACUUUAACCAUUAAAUUUAGACGAUCGUCUUAUCAAAAAAUUUAGUGAAAAUCUGCAAAAAUAUAAGUCACGCAUCAACAAGCUUAUACAUAGCCGAUUCAACAUUCAAGUCGACCACCUUUUGUCUAAAAAAGACAACAAAUUAAAACCAACGAACAAAAAAAUCAAUUAGUCGACCACCUUGCGACGGCCGUCUCAGAUUCUACGCACGUACGGUAGACCGGUAAGUACAUCCAUCUUUUUAACGACGUACGACCUGGAUUUUUGAUCGAGAUGGAUCACACGGCCUUUUGACGACGGACUCAGUCAUAUAUGGCAUGCUAAUUAAGACAAUGCAACCGUGCAACAACUGAUCAUGCCGUGCCUGUGCUUAAUUAAUUCCGAUGAAAUAUGAUCCCCAAUGAAAGCUACCUUGCUCUCUACAUUCCUUCCCCUAGUCAUAUGACUAAUUAAUAGUAGAUGACCAGACUAUUAACUGUAAUUACUGGACGCCUGCCUCUUUCCCCGCAGGCUGCAGCACGUACGCAUAUAUGCCUCCUCCAUUAUUAAGGACACGCAAGAGAUAUUUCCUAACACAUUCCAAAGAGAAGUUAUUUUCAGUGAUUAUUAUAUAUAUAAUAUCUUAAACUAAUGACUUUGUUGUGCUACAUUCAUAUAUAUAACAUUAGAAGAGUUGUCGAGCCAUUUAAUGCUCUCAAGACACAGAAAUGCCCAUGUUAAAUGAUAUAGAGAAAUCAUAAACCGUUGAUUAUGAGUGGUUCCACUAUAUAAUGAUGUAUAUUAAACAAAAGAAUUCAUGUAGAAAUAUAAUUCAUUUUUCAAUAGAAGCAGGGCCUUUGGCCUUUUCUCUAAAAAAAUGUAGAAACAUAAUUUAUAAACACUGAGAUUAGGAUUGAAAAAUGAAUUAAACAAAAGAAAAGUCCAUGAAAAACAUAAUACUUCCUCUGUUUUGUAUUACAAAUCGUUUGACUUUUUUUUUCUAAUCAAACUUCUUCAAGUUUGACCAAGUUUAUAUAAUAGUAUUUUUAACAUAAAACAAACAUAUUAUUACAAAUAUAUUCAAUAUUAGAUUUAAUUAAACUAAUUUGAUAUUUUAUAUGUUGUUAAAUUUUCUAUAAACUUGGUCAAACUUAAUAAAGUUUGACUAAGAAAAAGGUCAAAUGACUUAUAAUAUGAAACGAAGGGAGUACAAGAUAAAUUGAAAUUUAGAAGAAAAGUUGAAAAAAUGACUACAUGUUUUAAAAGCACGUAUACACUUAGUAAAUUUGUUAGGAAAACUAAAACAAUCUAUAUACAAAAUUAGUUUACUACUCCUGUUAUGCCAUUCACAAUGUCGUAGUAGUAUGAUGUAUAUGACCUGGCCAAUUGUUCAGCUAGGAGACUUCCUUUUUAUUGAAAGGACAGGAGAUUCCCUUUCAGCUUGUACCUUGGCGAGGCCACUCUGCGCAAGGAACGGUUCGCGUGACUAUGUUGGGGAGGUUUUAUCCUGCCCCAUGGCCCCGUGGCACGCCCCUCCAACCCUACCCUAACUUUGGUGUAGAGCUUCGAGUGGUGGUCGAAGAAGACGGGGAACAGGAUUGUGGAAGGGAAAAUGAGUACGACGAGGAGAGCGAAGUGGCCUACUGGCGACAAUAACCUCGAUGACCGUGGACGCUGCCACAAGGCAAUUCACGGAGCCCAUUAACUGAGCUCAAUCUGUUUCGCCGGAGGAGAGAGGGAUGGGAUGGGACAAUGGGAGGUGAGGAGGCGACGAGGAGAGGGGUUGGCGCAAGCGGAGAUAGAGAGGGGAGAGGUGUCAUCGGCGAAGGGAAAAGCUAGGAUGGUGCUGCCGGAGAGGGGAAGGGGGAGGCGUUGUCAGUGGAGAUGGAUAGGAGGGAGUGUGGGUUAGCCGAGAGAGGGUGGGGGGUUUUAUUAUUUUUUUCUGGUUUUGGGGUGCUUAGUGUAAAAUGUUAGACUUUUACAUAAAUUGAAAAACAUGAGAAAAAAAAAUAAAUAAAAGAGCUAACAUCACAAAUUGAAGUCUUCUCUAAGGCCAUUUUUACAUUGUGACAAAAACUCAUUUAUAAUGUAUGGCAUUCGCCUAUAUGAAAGUCAAAUAGCAUAUAUAUACGAGACCAUUUAUAUGAGUGGCUUGUACUUCUGAGACCCUUAGGAACCAGCAAAGCGCCGUCCGUUCCAAAGGAAGAAGAAAUUAACACGCUACGCAGCAUUGCCUAUUUACACUAUCGUCCCGUAAUAUAUACUCCCUCCGUUUCAAAAUGUUUGACACCAUUGACUUUUUAGCACAUGUUUGACCAUUCGUCUUAUUAAAAAAAUUUGUGAAAUAUGUAAAACUAUAUGUGUACAUAAAAAUAUAUUUAACAAUGAAUCAAAUGAUAUAAAAAAAAUAAAUAAUUACUUAAAUUUUUUGAAUAAGACGAAUGGUCAAACACGUACUAAAAAGUCAACGGUGCCAAACAUUUCGAAACGGAGGGAGUAUAAGAGAUUUUUAUAUCAUAGUAUUGGAGGCUACUUAAAAAGUUUAGAUCAUCACCAACUGAAGGGAUACAGAUUCUCUAAAGUAGUGCAUGUACAAUAUCGCUCAUUGAUGUGGGGGGUUGGAUGGGACUAAAUCUUUUUAGUACCUAUCACAUCGGAUAUUUGAACACUAAUUAGAAGUAUUAAACGUAGAUUAUUGACAAAAACUUAUUCCAUAACCCUAGUCUAAUUCGCGAGACGAAUUUAUUAAGCCUAAUUAAUCCAUGAUUAGCCUAUGUGAUGCUACAGCAAACAUAUGUUAAUUAUGGAUUAAUUAGGCUUAAAAAAUUAUCACAUAAAUUAGCUCUCAUUUAUAUAAUUAGUUUUAUAAGUAGUCUAUAUUUAAUACUUUAAAUUAGUAUCAAAUAUCUGAUGUGAUAGGGACUAAAGAGUACCUGAAUUCAAACACCCCUUGAGGACCAGCUACCUAGCUACGUAGGUCGUUCCCCGAGGCCUCCCGAAAGAGAGCUGAGGAAUGUUGACAACAAGGAUGACUGGAGAAUUGAAGAAGCUAUGUCCUGGACACAAGUCAAGUCUUCCUAACCCGCAUAGUCAAGUCCUAACCCGCACAUGCAUUUGGUGGCUCAAUUCGAAUACAUUCUCUUUUUUCAAAAGUUCUUUUUCUAGGGAACUUUUUUUUUCCAAAGUUGACAUACUUUUUUUGUGUACAGAUCGUUCAAUUCAAUUCCGAUGUGCAAGGACUUUCACAAGAUGCGCAAGCGCAAGCGCCAACACCUAACAUAUUUUGUCCAAUUUCCAACAGGCCGGUCUCUCCUCUAGAAGCUGACGUUUACACUUAACAGUGCAACCAUGCAUAUGCCCGACCGGCAGCCUCUCUUAGCAUAGCUUAUGCAUGUACAUUGUAUAUACAUACAGUCCAAAAUUAAAUUCCUUUUUAUAUAUAGAUUUGAACAUAGACUAUGCCUACAUCCAUAUAUAAAAAAGAAACUUAUUUUGAGAUAGAUGGUAUAGAUAUUUUAUAAUGGUAGCAAUUGAUAGGAAAUGACUUGCGCUCCUUUUAGCAACUAUACUGAUAUGUGCUUGGUCUUGUCGCCGCCUCGGACUCGGUAAUGGACAUCACUUCAUAUUGGUAGACUCAGGCCAUCCCCAACCCUCUAUGUCAUCUAGUGUCCAUAGCAUUAAAUAUAUUGUCACAUAAGUAAAAAAUUUGAUGUGGCAAGAGAGUUAAUGAGAAUAGAGGUAAAAAGAUGAAGAAACCACCUCUACACAAGAAUUAAGAAUGAAAAUAAGGGGAUAUGUGGAUAAAAAGAGAGAGAAGAGAGAUGAUUAGAUGAUAAUUUAAUUUGAAGACACCAUCCAUUGGAUAUAUAGUUUCUAUACAUAUUAUCUAUAUGACAUGGCAAGUAUGAAAACUACUAGUAGUUUCAUGGUUGGGGAUGGCCUCAGCUAGCGAUGACACAUCAAACUUGCUGACAUUGAUUCCAUGAUCGAGACGAUGAUCGCACGAUGCGCCUGCCUGAUGCCAUCGAUCAGUACACAUUGACGAGGGAAUGCUGCACAGCGACACCAGUAGCAAAGUAGCAUAUCCAUACUCCGAUACCACUUGUUAUGAAAAUAGAUACUAUACGAACAUACAGAAGACCAAAUCAACUAAUAAUGGUAAUAAUGGUAUAUGGUUACAUGUAUAGAAGGGUGGCUCAUAUUUAUAAACACGUAUUAAUUGAUCCAAUCUAUUUAAAUUAUUAUCCAACAUAUUUUUUAAAUACAAUAGAUUACAUAUUUAUACUACCAUAUCAGUUAUUCUAGCAUAAUUCUUUUCUAUUGGCAAUUAAUAUAAUUUCUAAAUUAAUAUAUUAACAGUUAAGACUAUUUCUUUGAUAUAAUAAUAAUAAUAGUAAAAUAUUAUGAGUAGUGAUCACCAUACAGUUUCUCGACUUAAUUAGCAAACUUGCCCACAAGUGUAAUGUUGCUAUAUAUAUAUAUAUAUAUAUAUAUAUAUAUAUAUAUAUAUAUAUAUAUAUAGGACACUCAUAUGAGGCACCAUGGUGCCCGGGUACCAUGGUAUCUAAUGCACAAAAUUACUCAAAUUUUUCAAAAUUUUCAAAUUGUGAGUAUAUACCUAGUUAUAAUAAUUUGAUUCAUACCUAUACUUAUCAACAAAACAACUCAAAUUUAACUUUAUUUCACAAUCCAUGAUUACAUACCUAACUAAUUAUAUGUAUGGAUGCUAUAUACCUAGAAUCAAAAUCUAACAAAAACAAGUUCAAAUUCAGUUCAAACUUGCUUUAAACUAGUUAGUAAAGUAGUUAAUGUUAAUACCUAAGUAAUUGAAAAAGUUUCAUACUCAUUUGAAUUGGGUAUAUACUCAAUUUCAACAAUGGUGCCCGGGCACCAUGAAGCACCAAACAAAUUUAAUAUAUAUAUAUAUAUAUAUAUAUGUAUAUGUAUAUAUAUGUACAUAUAUGUAUAUGUAUAUACAUAUACAUACAUAUACAUACAUAUACAUAUACAUACAUAUACAUACAUAUACAUAUACAUACAUAUACAUAUACAUACAUAUAUAUAUAUACAUAUACAUACAUAUACAUAUACAUAUAUAUACAUACAUAUACAUAUACAUAUAUAUACAUACAUAUACAUAUACAUAUAUAUACAUACAUAUAUAUAUAUAUAUAUAUAUAUAUAUAUAUAUAUAUAUUUAUGAUGCCUUUUUUACUUGCAGGAUAUAUAUCCAUCGAUCCUAGCUGCUAGUAGUUGAUCGAUCAGAUUCCACAUUGUUCUAAAAAAAAUAGAUUCCAACAUUUCUGGGGAAAAAAAAAUAAGUUUAAGUGUUCGAGUUUUCUUGCUUGUGCUGCUAGGCUGCUAGCUGCAGCAUAUAUGCAAUGUAGUCAUCGAUCGAUCGAUCGAUAGGAAGUGUGUGGUUGCAUUUUUGCUCGGCAUUCAUGUACUAGGACGAUACGUGGAAAUAAAGCAGCAGCUAGCCGCCUCGUACUGCACAUUGCUAGGAGUAUCUCCCGAUUGCACCGUCGUCGACUCGACGGCGAAUUAUUCCGUGAAAAUUGAUCGAGUUGGCUUAGCUUUGCGUGCUUGGACUUUGACGCGUGUGACACCAAUGACGAUCGGUUACGCAUCAACGUGCACGGCAAUUUUUAGCUGCUUCUUCAUUUUAGCCGAUUGGACCAUAUAUAUCUUUUUCUUUAGACCAAGAGACCAUAUAUACUCCCUCUGUUUUUAAAUAUUUAACACCGUUGACUUUUUGGCACAUGUUUGAUCGUUCGUCUUAUUAAAAAAACUUUUGUGAAAUAUGUAAAACUAGAUGUAUACAUAAAAGUAUAUUUAACAAUGAAUCAAAUGAUAGGAAAAGAGUUAAUGAUUACUUAAAUUUUUUUUUGAAUAAGACGAACGAUCAAACAUGUUUAAAAAAAGUCAACAACGUCAAAUAUUUAGGGACGGAGGAAGUAUAUCUUUACACACACAUGACUUUGUUGUAUAAUGUAUAUAUAUAGUUAAAUUAGAUAAGUAUCAUGUAUUGUGUGUACACACAUAAAGUACUACUAUAGGGCAAGUUAUAUAUAUAUUGUCAAUUGUCUGAUUUGUUGUCAUUUUGUUUGAUGUCAUUUAUCUAUCAAAAUCGUCAUCUCAGGUGUGUCCACACCACAAGGAAAAAAAAUACACACGCACAAUAUUCAACUAGAAAAUUGUAUUAAUUGUAUACUUCCAACGUUUUCGAGAAGUAACACAUGAUAUGUCUGUUGCUUGGGCACAGUUAGAGUAUUAUAUAUAAUCUGUCAUUUUGUUAAGUGCAGCUGUACAUUCUGUUUACUUAAACUCUCUUGAUCGGAUCCGGUGUAGUACUAUCUCACGGCAACAUUAAUUACCCCAUAGGUCAAUAUAUUACGCAGCUUAAUUAGUUGUGUACAACUGGCGCCGCUGUGUCGCGCUGAUACACUGCAUAAUUAAGCUGCUUCUAGACUGCGACUAACAUAUAAAUAUAUAUCGAUCGUUUCUUUGAUCAGAGCAGAUGAUCGAUGUAUCGAUCGAAACCCAGUCAAUUAAUCGGUUGAUUUCAUCUUCUUGAAACAAUUAAUGAUCGCUGUAUUUCUUUUUUCCAACGACCAAGUUGAGUGUCUUGGAUAUAUAUGUAUAUAUCGAUAUCGCCCAUCGAUCAUCACGGAAAAUAUGGAUGAUAUGUUCGGUAUAUAUAUAGAAAGAGCAAAUUUCUUUUUACCAAAUCAGUGUAACUUAAUUCUUCUCUCUUAACCAAAAAAAAGUGGUUAAGAGAGAAGAAUUAAGUUACAUUGAUCAUGGGCUGGGAGACAAAAUAUCAGGAUGGCGCAUGUAAUAUAUAUAAUUUAAUGAAAUUAAUGUUAGUCAAGCUUAUUUCUGGGGGGGAGUAUGGAAUUAAGGAUUUAGGAAGGAAGGAAUUUACCUUAUGGGAGACAAAAUCUAGACGACACACGUAAGUGUGAUGUAAUGAAAGACUAAACUUGUUACAGAACACUGAAAAAGGAUUUUGCUGGGAGACAUCUUUAAAAAAUUUAUUUGCUCAAGAACACCUAAAAAAUUAAAUAUGGUAAUAGUAUGAUAACGUGAGUAUUAAAAUACAACAUAUACUUAUAAUUGAGGAGAAAAAUAACCAUGUAAAAUAUCCAACCCAGCCCUCUGCCUCACUCGAAGCGGGCUAGGCAGUGGCAACAACGACGAACAUACUCCGAGUGGCUAGUACCACUACCCCCUCCCACCUCAAGUAGUUAGUGGAUGGAGCUUGCCCCACAGCUCGGUCGUCAAACAGGAGGGCAUGAUCUUAUCCCACUACAAGUGCUUUCUCGGUUAUCACUAGAACCAACGACAGUGCUCAGGAUCGGUGAUGCAACAGAAGCCAGAAUUAUAGAGGUGGACUAGAUCUUGUAGUUGUUAUUCCAAGGUAGUGAAGCAAAUCUAGUAAUGUCCCUAGAUCAAUUGGGCCAGAUCUAACGAUGGCGAAGGGAUUCAUGCAUUGAUAUGAAGAUAACACCGAGAAUGCUUACUUUGAUCCAUGAAGAUAGCUCCAUGCCACAUGUCUUUUUUGUCCCUAUCGGUCAUCGCACGUAAAUCAAUGAAAUGACAUGUGGGGCUAGUUUGUAUGGAGUAAAGUCGUUGAGGUAAAAUUCUCUCUCUAUCCCAACGAGAAGUAAUAAUUUUAAUGGCCUUAAUGAUCUUUAGCACAAUACUGCAAAUGUAAGCUUUUACAGUGUCUGUCAGCAAAAAUAUUGUUUUUAUUGUUUUGUAGUAGUAAUUUUUGUCUGAAUGAAAGUAAAGUUAGUCAAGCUUAUUUCAAGAGGGAGUACGUAAUUAAAGUAUGUAAUUAAUGAAACUACAUCAUGGGAGACAAAAUCAUGUGGUGUGGUUUAGACUUUUAGUGAAAUUAAAGGUUAGUCAAGGAGAUUGACCUCGACGUUUAAUUCAGGCACGAGAUCAUAGGCCGGCUGUGCCUGACUGGCAUGAACUUUUGACUGCUCUCCCUGGCUCCUUCCGCAGCUUCCCGUUUUUACAAGCUACUAGUAUCAAAACCAAAGUCUUGAUGAUGCAUGGUCUGUUUCCCGUCGUCCAAGCUAGGUGUGCACUACUGUAGUAGUGUAUCUCUCUUUUUUUCCCUUUUUCUCUCUCAUCUCUAUAUACUCUCUCCAUUUUAAAAUGUUUGACACCGUUGAUUUUUUAGUACGUGUUUGACCAUUCAUCUUAUUUAAAAAAUUUAAUUAAUUAAUUAUUUUUUUCAUAUCAUUUGAUUCAUUGUUAAAUAUACUUUCAUGUACACAUAUAGUUUUACAUAUUUCACAAAUUUUUUUUAAUAAGACGAACGGUCAAACAUGUGCUAAAAAGUCAACGGUAUCAAACAUUUUGAAAUGGAGGGAGGAUAUGCCUACAUAUCGAUCAAUGGAUUCAAGCAAACUUAAUUAGUUGGCGAUCGAGUUGAAGAGAGAGAGAGAGAGAGAGAGAGAGAUCAGAGCGAGCUAGCUUAGCUUAAUUUGAGGCCGGGUACACAAUAGACACGCAUUAUGUUUUCUGGCCAUUAGCUAGCUACUAGUUCUUACCGGCCGAGUAGUAGCUUCGUCUACCUCUCCGGCCACCAUUAUAUAUACUUCUCUCACUUGGAGUGUGGAGGCGCCGUCGUCCGACAGAUUACUGAAAGAAAGCAAAGGUAUAUUAUACCACUGAUCUACUGCUAACUGCUGUGUAAAUACUAUAAGUGCAUGGAUCAUGUACGCUUUUGUAUGAGGUGCUUCACGUCUUCGCGACACCUUAAAUAUUUCAUCCUUCAAUGUACUCAAUAUUGAGCAGAUUAGUAGCCACUAGUCCUAGAGAGCAUAUGCACGUACGUAGCAGCUAGCUAGCUAGAGUUUGAAAUAAUUUGUUGAGAGGAUUAUUUACUUGAUCAAACUUAACCGAUAAUUUAAAAUAAAUGGUCUAAGCAAUAUAUUUUUUAAAUAUAUAAAUUAUUUUAAGGAAAUAUAUUUUUCGAGACAUGGAGUAAAUAAUAUGUUCAAAACAAUUCGGUAAAAAUCUAAACAUAUAAGCAUAACUAUAUAUUCAUGCUUCCGGUGCGUACCGCGCGUAAUGAUUAUCUAAGAAUCUAAGAUCAAGUUCUUAUUUUUUUUAAAUAAAGAAACAUAAGUUGUACUCCCUUCAUACUAAAAUAUAAACAUUUUUAGAUUGUUUACUAAGUACUCCAAUUUUAAGAUUUCCUUAAUGUCAAUCACUUUAGUGGUUAAACUUUUAUCUUGAAUUAUUUAGAUUACCCUCCAAUCAUUUCGCAUACAAUUGAUUAUAAACCCUAAUGUUUAUUUGCGGCUAAAAAUUAAUUUAUAGCAAAACUUAUAUAUAUUAAAAACAAACAACGUGUAAAAAAAAUUAAAAUCAACUUUAAAAUAAGUUUUGAAAUUUAAAUUCUAACUGUGGCUAAUCUCUACUAUUAUAAAAAUUGAAUAUGUUUUUGCUGGUAUUUUGGUACGUUAUCCGUGUUUGAGUCGGUUUUUAAGUUCGUUCGUUUUUGGAAAUACAAAUCCGUGUUUAAGUUGGUUUUUAAGUUUAUUUGUUUUUAGAAAUACAAAAGGAAUCGUAUAAGAAAUCUCUUAAAAAAACUUACAUGCUAAUUGAUGAAAGUUAGACUCCUAAAUACAGCUCAUGAUUUUUUUUAAAAAAAAUAUUUAAGCAAAUUUCUACAGUGAAUAUCAUCCUAAUCCAAAAUAAAUCGUAUAACAAUAAAAAAAAUUAAAAUAACAUUUAUCCGUGGUAACGUAUGGAUAUUUUUCUAGUAAGUUAAAUAACAAAGACGAUGAGAAGGGGAUGAAAGAAGAACAGCCGGGACGGUCUAUCCUGCUCUGGCAGCCAGGGUUCAGAUACGGCCUGCACACUGUACCAUCCGGUAUUCCGGUUGAUGGCAUCUUCCAUUCCCUGCAUACAUGGUCAAUAAAUAACAGCCGCUUUGCCGUCACCAAAAUUACCUGUCAGGUAGUGUAACUACUUAUUUUUGGCGUAUAUACGUACUCCUACAGUGUGUACGCAUGUCAAUGGUCAAGUCAAAACCCUCUUUGCAUUGGUCGACGCGGUACAACUUUUCUUCCCUCCCGGGUCACUGCAUGUCUCCGCACGGUAAUUACUACUACCACUACAGCAGCAGCCAAAACCAAAGGGAAUAGACUAGACCCAAGAAGAAAAAUUCAGGAGAAAAAAUUGGGGCUACGUGCAUGGAAGCUUCGCGCCGAAUCACACGUGCCUCGUCCCACCUGUCCGCGUCACCCGUCUCUCCUCGCCGCCGCCGCUCUUUGCUUCUGCACGUAGCAUCCUCUAUCUCGCUCUUGUCCUCUUCGCUUCGUUUUGUAUAUAAAGACGCCACUGCGCUUCGCUCUCCUCUGCUACUACCUGACAAGCUUUGCUUUGCUCGCACGCGUUCCCAGCUCCACCUCAUCAUCCAUGGCGUCCACCGACAGCGCCCAGGUGGCUGCAGGAUGGCCCGCCGCCGCCAGGGAACACGAAGCGUGCCCGCCGCCGCUUGUCGUUGGAGCCCCGUCGCAUGAUGCCGACGCGCAGCCGGAGGAGGAGAUACCGUACUCCGUCUCCUUCAGCGUGCCGGCGUCGCCGUCGGGGAUGCACCUCGGCGCGUCCGUCGUCCGCGUGCACGCCGCGCCGCCUUCCGUGGGCGAGGCCAGGAUCGACAUGAUCCACCCCGCCGAGCCACCGCCGCAGAUGCUGUGGCAGCAGGCGAGGUUCCACUCGCAGCCCACCCUGACGGUGAUCAACGGCGAGGCGGCGGCGCCGGUGCCCCGGAGCGACAGCACGCGGGACCGGCGGUUCGACCAGUUCAAGACCUUCUCCGGCCGCCUCGAGCGCCAGUUCUCCAGCCUCCGCGGGAUGCUGCCGCAGGAGCCCGCCGCCGACAUCGAGACGGCGGACUCCAAGAUCUCCGAGGAGGAGGCCGACGGCGGCGAGGUGCCCACCGCCGACCGCUACUUCGCCGCCCUUGAGGGCCCCGAGCUCGACACCCUCCGAGUACGUCACUUCGAAACCUUAGCUAGCUCAAAAUUUCUUGCCAUUGUAACGACUAGACUAAUGAGGAUGUCGGCGUGCAGGCGACGGAGGUGCCGGUGCUGCCCGAGGACGAGAGGUGGCCGUUCCUGCUGCGGUUUCCGAUCAGCGCGUUCGGGAUGUGCCUGGGCGUGAGCAGCCAGGCGAUGCUGUGGAAGACGCUGGCGUCGGAGCCCUCCACGGCGUUCCUCCACAUCAGCCUCGACGUCAACCACGUCCUCUGGUGGGUGUCCGUCGCGCUCAUGGCCCUCGUCUCCGCCAUCUACCUGCUCAAGGUCGUCUUCUACUUCGAGGCCGUCCGCCGCGAGUUCCAUCACCCCAUCCGCGUCAACUUCUUCUUCGCGCCAUGGAUCGCCUGCCUCUUCCUCGUCAAGGGCCUGCCGCGCCAGGUCUGGACCAUCCACCACGUCGUCUGGUUCCUCCUCAUGGCGCCCAUCCUGCUCCUCGACCUCAAGAUCUACGGCCAGUGGAUGUCCGGCGGCGAGCGGCGGCUGUCCAAGGUGGCCAACCCGUCGAACCACCUCGCCAUCGUCGGCAACUUCGUCGGCGCGCUGCUCGGCGCGAGGAUGGGGCUCCGGGAGGGCCCCAUCUUCUUCCUCGCCGUGGGGUUGGUCCACUACAUCGUGCUGUUCGUGACGCUGUACCAGCGGCUGCCGACCAACGUGCAGCUGCCCAAGGAGCUCCACCCGGUGUUCUUCCUGUUCAUCGCGGCGCCGAGCGUGGCGUCCAUGGCGUGGGCGAGGCUGACCGGCGAGUUCGACUUCGGGGCGCGGAUCGCCUACUUCGUCGCGCUCUUCCUCUACAUGUCGCUGGCGGUGCGCGUCAACAUGUUCCGGGGGUUCAGGUUCUCGCUGGCGUGGUGGGCGUACACGUUCCCGAUGACCAGCGCCGCCAUCGCCACGGUGCUGUACGCGUCGGAGGUGACCAACGUGGCGACGAGGGCGAUGGCGGUGGGGCUCUCCGGGAUCGCCACCGUGACGGUCACCGGCGUGCUGGUCACCACCAUGUACCACGCCUUCGUGCGCAGGGACCUCUUCCCCAACGACGUCUCCAUCGCCAUCACCCGGAGGAAGCCCAAGUUCAGCAAGAUCCUCGCGCACCUCCGCUCCUCCGGCACCGACGUCAAGGAGCUCGUCUUCUCCGUCUCCUCCAAGAACGGCGCUGACGACUCUGCCUCCGUCUCCAAGGCAAGCAACUGCAGCUCCGGCGAUCAGUCCCCGGUGCCACACGCCGGAGCUGGGCGUGGGCGUUAACUAAUUUAGUACGCUGUCGCGUGCGCGCGCGCGUGUACAGACUUGAUAAUUAAUUUCUCUUUUUUUUUCUUUUCGAUCCUUGCACAAUCGAUUCGCUACGAAUGGACGGCAUUGGCGGAUCGGCAGCGACCAGGGGUUUAUCCUUUGAGCGAAUUGCAAUAAGGAUAUUAUAAGCUUCAGUUUUGUAGGUUAGUUCCAGUUUAUAAUUAUUGACUCGGGAGUUUUUUUAAUUUAUUCCAUCGGAUAUGUGUUUUUAAAGAGGAGAUAUAACGUGUAACUGCAUUUGGAUUUGGAUUUGAUUGUAUCUUAAUCCAUCACGCCGUGCUGUUCGUCUAACUUCUGGAUGAGAUAAUGGGAGACCCAAUUUGGAAAAAAGUCUCUUUAAUUAAUGUGGCGUUUGAGAUGGGAGGGACUUAACAUAAUUCUCUAGGCGAGGGACUAUAUAUUUUUUUUCGUGAGAGGGACUAAAAAAUACUCCCUCAUUCCCUAAAUGUUUGACACCGUUAAAUUUUUUAAACAUGUUUGGCCGUUCGUUUUAUUCAAAAACUUUUGUGAUAUGUGUAAAACUAUAUGUAUACAUAAAAGUAUAUUUAACAAUAAAUCAAAUGAUAGAAAAAGAAUUAACAAUUACUUAAAUUUUUUGAAUAAGACGAACGGUCAAACAUUUUUAAAAAAAUCAACGGUGUCAAAUAUUUUAGGAUGGAGGUAGUAAGUCCAUCCCAUCCUAAACACCACCUUACGUCUGUCGACUCUAACGGAGUCUGAUUUUCUUACCUCAACUUUAGAACUAUUAAAAAAAACUAGAUAUAUAUAACAACUUUAUUAAAUAUUAAUUAAUGUCGAUUUAAUUUGUCUCCUUCAAUAGUUUAGAUGUUGUUUUAUUCUACGUGAAGUGUUAAUCAGUCCAACCCAUACUAAUAUGACAUCUAGGUUGCAAUUAGGUAGGACUAUAGGAAAAAUUAAAAACAAGAAGCUCAUUAGGACUUUGAGAGGUUGUUUGGGAAAGAGAGACUUAAAAAAAAAUAAGACGCUUAUCCCCCUCAGUCCGGCCCUUAGCUUCUCUCCCAUCUACUACUUCCUUCGUUUCACAAUGUAAGUCAUUAUAUCAUUUCUUACAUUUAUAUUAAUAUUAUGUCUAGAUUCAUUAACAUUAAUAUAAAUGUGCGAAAUGAUAUAAUGACUUAUAUUGUGAAACGGAGGUACUACUGUCCCUCACAUCUUCCUCUGACGCCGCUCCUUGUUUAUUGCCAUUGUCGUCGUCGCCUGCUCCUUCUCUUCGGCGCCUCGAGAUUUGGGGACGGAGCUCGAGCUCCACCUGUGAGAGGAACAAGAGACAAGGUCAGAGAAGAAUGUGAGCGUGACGUUAGGCUUGGAUGUGAACUUGUUAAUUAAUUUCUCUUUUUUUAUCCUUGCACAAUCGAUUCGCUACGCAUAUACGGCAUUGGCGGAUAUCGGUAGCGACCAGGAUUAUAUCCUUUGUGCAAAAGUUACAAUACAAUUUUGUAGGAUAUCAGUUUAAAAUUAUUGUCUUGAGAGUUUUUUUUUUCAUUGGACACAUGUUUAUAAAGCUGUGUGUACCAUGUAACUGGAUUUUAUAAAGUAUUAUUCCAUCGCGCGGUGCUACUCCUCUGAGUCGUCACACCAGAUGCGAUCAUGGGAUGCCUAAUUUUGUUCCAUCACGCGGUGCUACUCCUCUGAGUCUAUUUUACCUCUCUCGAUUUUAACCCUAGUCUAAAAUUGCAAUAGGGAUAUCAUAAGUUAUUCCAGUUUUGUAGGAGUAGAUUAGUUGCCAGUUUAAAAUUAUUGUGUCAGGUUAUGUAUACCACAUACCUAAUAGUAGUUGACUAAAUCUCGGCAGGACCCACCACAUAUUAUGUCUUAUACGGAAACAACCUUUGGAUAUAAGAGGAGUCCGCGUAAGGAAGGAUAACCAGAGUCCUACAUGGAAACGACAAGGACUACUCGGAUUGUAUCCAUAUUGGUUUCCCUAGUUCUACUUGGACAAGGGGACACCUAUAGGUAUAAAUACAAGGCCCCCUAAGAGGAGAGGGGAGACGGAACAACAGAAGCCACAACAUACAAAGCCAACAUACGCCAAGACAAGAUGCCGGAUAUCGACUUCAGAGAUAGGCAUGGCUAGUCCCCUACGGUGCCUACGGAUACCGUCAGGUGAGAUAUAGCGCUGUCUCUGAUCUCGCCGGAUGCGGAUUCAAGGAGGAAGACCACCCUGUUGUCGACUACGAGUCAGACCUUCAGACCGCCAUGUCGACAACAGUUAGAUAGGCUACCCCAAAUAUUGUACUGGUGUAAUUAUGAUGAAUAAGAGCAAGCCCAAAUAUUGUACUAGUGUGAUUAUGAUGAAUAAGAGCAACGAUUGGCUUCGGCCAACAAGAUGUAGGGUUAUUACCUGACAAUUCAGGGGCCCGAACCUGUAUAAAAAUCCUCGUCUCCGUCUCUUUUACCUAAGUCUCGCGUAUAUCCUAGCACGUCUCCGUCUCUUUUACCUAAGUCUCGCGUAUAUCCUAGCACCAACGAUCCCCAUACUAUGCAAAUACCGAAAUCGCGACAUCAAACGUCGACAUAUUGACUCGAGAGUUUUUUUUUAAAUUACACAGUACAACGCAGACACUUACAACACACACGCGCUUGCCCCCUAUAAACACACGCACGCAAACCCUGCUCCUAUGAGCAUCUUCGAAGGCUGGGCCGACUCGCCCCUAUAAACGCAUGCACGCAAACCCUGUCCCUAUGAGCAUCUUCGAAGACUGGGCCGACAAAUCCUUGAGAUACUCACCCCUAUGAACACACGCACACAAACCCUACCCCUAUGAGCAUCUUCGAAGACUGGGCCGGCCCUAUGAGCAUCUUCGAAGACUGGGCCAGCAAAUCCUUGAGAUUGAUGAAGUCACCACAGGCGUCUCGCUGUCGACAGGUACGUCACCUACCACUUAAAGCACAACGUCGUUAAAUACUGGAAAAUUCGCUCUCAUAGGGAGUCGAACCCAGGACCUAAGGUGCUACUAAGGUACUUGUAACCACUAGGCUACCGCUACAUGCCCUUUCGCGACUCGAGAGUUUUUUAUUCCAUUGGACUUGGACACAUGCUUUUAAAGCUGUAUAUAUGAUAGAUGUAUCGUGUAACUGGAUUUUGAUAGUAUAUCUUAUUCCAUCGCGCUAUGUUGCUCCUCUAACUCUUGAGUCCUCACACGGAAUGCGAUCAUGGUAGGACUAAAAAAUAAAUCUUGUUCAUGUUCCUCUCCGCGAGGAGCCUCCUCCUCGCCCGAGAUUUCUAAUACGCGACUAGUCGCGCUCGCCCUCCCGCGUGCGACUGAACACGUGUCACGCGUGGAGAAGAGGCGACGGACGGCGCGUACGGUUCUUUUUUUUCGGGCAUACAGUUUCUUUUUUUUUUCUUCCGUACCUUUUCUGGUUUUCUUUCUUUUCUUCCCGUAUAUUUUCUGUUUUUCCGUUUUCUAAUACGUAUAUAUGCAAACUUUGUAUGCGUAUAAGUACAAACUGUAUAUACACGUAUACAAAAUUUAUAUAUGUGUAUGCAAACUUUUGUAUACGUGUAUACAAAGUUUGUAUACACAUACAUAAAGUUUAUAUACAUGUAUUUUUUUAGGUUUUUUAUAAGUACGCACACAAACUUUAUAGACAUGUGUAUAUCUUUUAUACAUUAAAAGUGCAUACAUAUAAAAAAAAUUAUGUAUAUAUAUACACAUAUGUAUAUAUUAUAUAGUUUAUACGUAUGUAUAUAUAUUACUACCUCCGUUUUUUAAUAGAUGACGCCGUUGACUUUUUCUCACAUGUUUGAUCAUUCGUCUUAUUCAAAAAAUUUACGUAAUUAUAAUUUAUUUUGUUAUGAGUUGUUUUAUCACUCAUAGUACUUUAAGUAUGAUUUAUAUCUUAUACAGUUGCAUAAAAUUUUUGAAUAAGACGAAUGGUCAAACAUGUGAGAAAAAGUCAACGGCAUCAUCUAUUAAAAAACGGAGGGAGUAUAUACAUACGUAUAUACAUAUAGUAUGCAUAGUAGCAUAUAGAAUAAUAGAUCGGACUAGAUGGGGGGGAGCUCAUCGCGCGCGCGGCCGCGCGACUAGUCGCGGACCCCCCCCCCCCCCCCCCGCGCCGCCGUGGCCAUUCCACGACGUUGAAGUCAUACGGUAUCAAGGACGAUGCGCCUGUAACUGAGUAGACACGCCCUAAUAUUAUUAAUAGGCAAGAGAGUCUUCGUAUCUGGUUUUAUACAAUUGAGGGACGAAAAUCAGCUACUAUAUUAUUGAGGGAGGGAAAUAUACCCUUUUUUUCCCCAUUUUUACUGCCCUUUUCCGUGUGCCUUUAUACGUCGAUGGGCCACCGCGAUAGACCUGAAAAGAUUAAAAGCCCAUUGACCGAAGUAUUGGUCUUGCCAAACCACGGCUGAAAAGUUUGAAGCAAUUCGAUCCAUAUAUAUUGGCCUUGUUUGUCUCCGUCUAUGUUUAUACGGCUGAAAAGCCACGUAUCCGUAUCGGAUACGCUCCGAUACGUAUCCCGUACGUAUCGCUAUUUACUUCGAUUUUCGAAAAAAUAAAUUAAAUCGGAUACUUCGUUGAUACGUCCCCUCCCGUCGCUCCUGAUACGCCCGAACCCAUCCAUGGAAGACGAAGCGCCGAUCCAAUCCGUCGCCGCGCCGCCUGCUAUUGCUCCAAUCCCUGAUGCAGUUCCCACGGGCCACGUCCUCCCCAUCGCCGCAUCCAUGCCCGAGGCGUGAGUCCUCCGCUAGCUGUCGGGUUCCGCCGCCGCAUCGCCAACCAAGCCGCAGGGUCCCAACCAGCCCGCAAUCGAGCUCGAGCGCCUCGCGCGUCGCCGCCCCUGAGCGCAGCUGCGCAGGGCCACCGCCGGUCGCCGCAUCUCCUCCACCGGGUGCAGCGUCUCCACUGGCCGCCAAGACCAACACCAUCAGUACGCCACCAAGCUACUUGGUUCUUUCCCAUUGAAGUCUCGAUCUGCAUUUCUUGCGUGUUUCCCCAUCUCAUCUUAGUGCUAAGUGUUCUCUCCUCUCCUAAAUCCAAUGAGUUUUGGAAGUGGCAGUGCAUCUCUAGCACUCGUACGUACUGCUACUGCUAGCGUGGCUAUGCGGCUGCACUUUGCAGAUUCAUUAGUAGUACUAGCGACCAGACAUGGGAGCACAAUAUCCAUGGGAGCUCCAAGGUGAGCCUGUACUAAAAAAAAUUGGUGUAUUGAUCAAUUGAUGUCAUGUAUUGGCUAUCUCUAUUUACAACCUCAUAGUUAUUUACCUCUAUAUAUUUAUUAUUUUAAAUAUAUAUUGACGUAUCCCCGUAUCGGUAUUUUUAAGAAAAUGCCGUAUCCUCGUAUCCCCGUAUCUGGGUAACGUAGGUUUCUGUUUUCUCUGUGUAAAGGAGGUGGCCAAGUAGCAAUGGUAGUGGCAAAGUAUACAAGCCAAUUGAUCAAUUCAAAUGGACCACCACCUCGAUCAACCCUCUUAAUUUGAUUCUAGAUGGGUACAGUGACAGUACAUGGUCUUUUCAGACGACGUACAUCCGUUCGUAGACUACCUCCACAACGGUUUUUUCCUUGACGGAUAAAACACGACGACAGGAAGGAAAUAAGGUAAGAGAACCGAACCCAUUCUCUGUCUGCCACUGUCAGGAAUGCACCACGGGAUUUCCGAUCGAGAUGAAAGAAUUCUUGCUCUUGCCUGGCUAGAACGUCUUUUGACGAUCUGAUCGAUCGAUCGAUCCAGUCAUAUAUGGCAUGCAUGCUAAUUAAGACCAUAUAUAGUAUACUCCAUCCGUUCUUAAAUAUUUAACGCCGUUAACUUUUUUAAUCAUGUUUGACCGUAUAUUUUUUUAAUCAUGAUCAAAUAUGUUUUAAAAAAUAAACGGCAUCAAAUAUUAGGGAUGGAGGAAGUAUUAUGCAACAACUAAUGCCCGUAUGUGAUUAAUUCAAUUUCAAUGCAAGCUGAGAUACUCAGGCACUCAGCAUCUUCCACCAGCGAGCAACUGAGCGUUUCGUUCAGUGCAGUGCUCUGCCCUGCCUCUAUUCCAUCCACAAGUCACGACUAAUACAUGACACGAGAUUAUAUUUGCUCUUUAGUGUGCAUUUUUUGGACGCUCUAAAUUAAGCACAUAUAUCCUUCACUUUUAAUUAAAUCCUAGUAGUAUAGUAGUAUUGCCUAUUGCCUAAAGAAUUCCAAAAAAAAGUAUUCUUGAACUCUUGAUACAUAUUUUUUUUCUAACGCGCAGAAGAAUUACUCGUUAAUAUACUAAAAGGGAAAAUGGAAAAGGUGUUUGUUACACAACGGUCUUGAUAUAUUAAUUAAACUAGCAUGGUGGCCCGCGCAGAUUGCGCGGCUAGCAUCAUUAUAUUUUCUCUUAUAUAAUAGCAUAUAUAUUUUCUUAAUUUAUUAUUAAAAUAUAUUCCUCCCUCCGUUUCUAAAUAUUUGACACCGUUGACUUUUUAGCACAUGUUUGACCAUUCGUCUUAUUAAAAAAAUUUAUAAAAUAUGUAAAACCAUAAUAUUUAGAAAAAAAUAUAUUUAACAAUGAGUCAAAUGAUAGAAAAAAAUUAAUAAUUUACUUAAUUUUUUUAAAUAAGACGAACGGUCAAACAUAUUUUAAAAAAUCAAUGACGUCAAAUAUUUAGAAACGGAGGGAGUAAAAUGACAACAUAAUUUUAAAUUUUAUACUAACUUUACCAAACUACAAAUGUAUAAUAUUCAUAUUGUAUUGUAUAUACGUGAUAAUUAUUAAUUAUUUUUAAUAUCAAAUUUUAGUUAUUUCUAAAUUGUAUUCCUAUAUAGACUCUACACUCAUCUUCCAAUAUUCCUUAUUUUUUAAUUUUGAAUUUUUGUAUUUGUAAAUUAUAUUUAUAUAAAUAUUAUUUAUUUUUAAUUCUGAAUUUUUAUUAUUUCUAAUUGUAAUUAUAUGUGAACUCUAAACUCAUCUUUCAAUUUCGAAUUUUAGUUAUUUGUAAAUUGUAUUUCUAUAUGAGCUCUAAACUCUACUUUUUAAUUUUAUUAUUUUUAUUCUAAAUUCUAGUUAAUUCUAAAUGCCUAUAUGGACUCCAUACUCUUCUUCUAAUGCUCUUUUUUUUUCAUUUCCGAAUUUUUAUUAUUUCUUAAUUAUAUUUCUACAUGGACUCUAUACUAUUCUUUUAAUAUUCUUUAUUUUUGCUCCCUAAUUUCAAUUAUGUCUAAAUUGUAUUUCUAUAUGGACUCUAUACUAUUAUUUCAAUACUCUUUUUUUAAAUUUCGAAUUUUAGUUAUUUCUAAAUUGUAUUUCUAAAUAGACUCUAACCUGAUUUUAAUUUUCCUUUUUUAAUUUCGAAUUUCCAUUAAUUCUAAAUUAUAUACCGGCAUGGACUCUAAUCCUCUCUUCCAAUAUUCUCUAUUUUUAAUCAAUGUUGAUGAUCACGGCGAGAAGUUUGAACGGCUAUAAGUAUUUUGGCUUGUUGAAGAUUUUUGGCUUGCUUUGGUUAAUUGUAAAUUUGGAAACGGUGCAGAGUUUCUAGCAGUGGUGUGAACACACAAAUUCCUGAAGCAAUGUCUGUUUCCAAUGUCCUAGUAUACUUCGCUGAAUAGUAUACAAAAUGGUGCAGUGUUUUUUUUUCCUUCUUUUCGUUUUUAACCAAUCCUAAUCUCGUUCCAAGGUACUGUCCGCUUCCAGUGUCCUAUUAUGCUUCGGUUUUUUCCUUUUUCUUUUUCUUAUUUUUCUGAUUAAUGUGAGAUUUUCUAAGCCAUGAGAACAAACGUGGAGGCUCCUUUUUCUAUAACUUUAAUAAGUUAAUAGAUGGGUAAAUCCCUGCACAACAAUAAAGAAAGAAAACAUCUUACAUGACACUCUGUUGCAUGCGCUUGUUUGGCAAAAGCGAAUUAAACAAGGGAAACGAUGAAUACAAAUUCCGUUUUUCUUUUUUAAUUUCUUGGCACGCACAAACUGACAGAAAGACAUCCGGAGAUCUUAUAUUAAACAGAAGGAAGAGCGAGUCGUUCAAAAAAAAAUAAAGGAUGAGAGCUUACAGGGUAAGGUAGCUAUCAGUAUCUUCAGAGACAACAUAUGAAAUAAGAGAGAAGAACCGACAAUUAUUCAACUUGCCUUCUUCGGACUGAUAUAGGUAUUGCAAUGACCAUUUGUUUACCUAUCAUUGCGACUAUCAGGAUUACAAAAUCAUUCAAUCAAUCUAUAAAUAUUUGAUAUUCACGGAUAAAUCAGCACUGCACACUCUCCGAAAAUAGCCUAAUCACCGGUAUCAGUGACUUCACUGAAUUGAAAGAACCAAUGGUAACUUGCCAAAUGAAUGCACAGAGAUUUGCAGAUAAUCAAACAUGCUGUCCAUAGCUAUUGCACAAUGCAGACUCCUUUGGUAGUCAAUACCCUCCUUACAUGAAUAAGUAAAAAAUUACACUACAAUCUAGUACCAUUAAUAAAACAAGAAAGAAAUAUCCAAAGCAUGGGGAGCAUAUGAUUGAAAAUUAUCCCAGGUGCACAUAUAUGCUAAUAACAAAUAACAAAGAUUGUUUGGUGUACUUGGAAUCAAUCAAAAGAAAAUGCACUAUUCUCUUUUGAUCACCAAUAACAAUUAGAGCAUCCUUCUAGUGUUACUUGGAUAUCUGAUCGUCUCCUCAAGCCCUUGGGAAUGGAUCGAAGUACAGGGCAGUCAGACAUCCUCAAUGAUGUGAGACAAGGAAAACUCUGUAACCAAUUCGGCAAGCUUUCCAGUCUUACACAGUUUUCUACUCUCAAGCUAUGGAGCGAUACAAGAUAUCUCAUACCAUUCGGCAAGCUAGUUAAUUCUGGACAAGAACAGACCUCAAGCUCCUGAAUGUGCCUCAGUUCUAGAAGUCCCUUGCAACCAUCAGAUACUGUGAGCUCCUGGCAUAGAGAAAGCGAAAUGCUCCUGACGCUUCGUGCCACGCCAUUAAAACUGCCUCUUCUACUGUACAACAACCAGUUGUUCAUCGACAAGCUUAGCUUCUGGAGAUGCUUCAGCUCCAUGCACAGUGCUUCAAACUUUGGGCAGUGAAUGAGUGUUAGUUCACAAAGACGAGGAAACAUGUCCUUCCUCUCACUGUGAUGCCAGAUUUCAAGGUUGUGCAUGUGGGAUAAUAUGAGCUUCUCAAGCGAGGGGAACGUGCCAUUAUCACCAUAGAAUGCAUCAUCAAUGAUGCUGACAGCACUCAUUCCAUUUAUCUCUGCAGUCUUGAGGAGAGGUAACUGCCCCAGUGGUGGUAAUUUCUGACAUGCCUUCAUAUUGAAUAGCUUGAUAUGUAGAAGAGAUUUCAGGUAUGGUUCCCUCCAAGUCAUCCACUGGGGCAACUUCGCUCCGGGAUAGGAAAUAAUCUGCAAGUUUUGUAAGCCAUCACUGGGUUGAAGAGAUUCGAGUACCUGCUCAGCAUUUUCAACAUAUGUGUUCCACUGAUAUGAUAAGGAUACCAGAUCAUGCUUGUCAUUCAGAAUUGCAUCCUUAGCUUCUUGGACCUGCAAAACAUUUUCAAGGAAAUCCAAUGCUAGUACUUUCAGCUUUUUAAGGGGCUUCAACUCAGAGAUAGAACUUUCAUGAGUGACCCCUAUAAUGUAAGCUGAUAACACUUGAAGUUUGGCUAGCCUGGCAAUGGCAGGAGGCAUUCUAGUCAGUGAUGAGCACUCUAAUAUGUUUACAUACAUAAGAUUUUCCAUUCGGCUCAUUCCUUGAGGUAACCGAGAAAGGUAGUAACAUCCUUGAAAAUCUAAUCUUUCCAUGCGCACAAGGUUGCCGAGAUCACUGUGAAUUUCCACAAGUUUCUCACAGUGAGACAGGUCAAGAACUUCCAAAGAAGUAACCACUCCAAGAAAAUUAGGCACUACCGAGAUGUUUGUAUAGGAAAGGUUUAGAUAGUUGAGAUCAUGGAAAUCUUUGAUGGAUUCUGGAACGGAGUCCAGGUCAGUUCGCGAAAGAUUAAGGUACCUCAAUUUGUUUAGAUUACAGAACUCCCUAGGCAGAUUCUUGAUCCGAGUUGCUUGAAAGUCCAACACAAUCAAGCUAGUACAGCUGCACAACUCCAGUGGAACCUCUUUGAUAUCACAUCGUUUGUCAGCAGAUAGAAGCAUGUCUUCCACUGGGACUAGAAACAGUUUCUUCAGAGACCGCAGUUUAAACAAAAGCUUAGGAAACUUGAAUGCUUUAGAGUCAACAAGUAGACAUAGGUGGUUAGCCCGAGGAUGAAUCCAACAUGUUUCCGGUGUAAUCCUUGACCCAAAACAUCCGUAAGGCCCACCCAUAUUGGCAUUGAUACUCUCCAAAACAAAGUGUCGUUGAAGGCGCAUAGUGUAUACUUGUUUCGGGCUGAAGCUAUUUGCUGGGUGAGGGUACCUCCAUUAGAGCGGUCGAGCACAAUCGCAGGUCGCCACAAACAGAAAUGCGCAGCGCAGGGUCCUCGGAAACCCAGAUGUCAAUCAGUUGUUGGAUGUCGAAGACGUGAUCCCGCGGGUAAGGUGCACAAUGCAGCAAGCAUUUCUGGAACGGGCGACGAAGAGAAGUGAAACAGAUAGUGAUCCAGAUGCCGAAAUGGGGGCAAUGAGAACAAUGAUCCUCAAAGUUGUCAAGGACAUGUCUCCAAGCUUUUGCUGUAAUUUCAUCCCAUGGCAGGACCUCGUCGAAGUAGAGAAUCAGGAAAGGAAGACCUUCGCAGCGGUGGACGAACCACAUCUGCAGGUAAUGCGGCGGGAACGGGAAGAGGCGCGUUGCUGACGAACAGCUGCCAUGACUCCUCCGGCGACAGAGGCGGCACGACGAGUGGUGGGAGGGAAUCGUCCAAGUGGCCACCGAUCAAGAUGAUCGUGGAUCCCGCCCUGCCGGCGCUAAGAACAUCAAAAAGCUGUGCGAAUUGGUGGCCGGCCGCUAUCCCAAAAAUCUUUUCGCACUCGCACAUAGCUACCAUCCGUAUCAAACUUUUCGCCACCGAAAUCAUCGAUGACGAACAAGAAAACGCAGGGGGAGAGGAGCACCUUGGCGGCGCGGGCGAUGUCGUCCCUGUCCUGGAGGAUGCAGUCCUCCUCCGUGAGCCAUUCCACCAGCUGCAAUCCCACCUUUUUGGCAGUGGAUCGAUCGGCCGCCGCCGCCACCGCCACCGCCACCGCCAUUGACCACGCGGGGGCUGCCUGCCAGUGCCAACAAGCCAUGUCCAUGCCGCCGCUGCUCAAUCGGCUCGACACCGUCGACCGCUGCUUCGCCUUGGCCGCGUUGUCGACGUCCGACUUAGGCGGCAUCAAGCGGAAGCUAGGGAGAGAGAUGAGGUUUCUUGAGCUCUGGUGGGACGAGAUCAGGGAGAAGUUCUAUGGCGAGUUCGGGCAAACUAUCGAACAUGUCUGGUUCCCGAUAGGCGAGAUCAGGCGCCAGUAUCGCACUCUUGCCGCUUCGCAAGACACCGUCGAGAUCCUCCGUCUCAUGGAGAGGAUGCGAGACACGACGCACUCCCUGCUCAAGCACAACACUAGGCCGGGCACGGGCAGCGGCGGCGACGAUGAAAUCGCCGCGGAGCUUCCGCGGCGAGAUGAUGAUGAUGAGCUCAGCCUCAUCUCCUUGCGGGCACAUCUUACAAGCAUCAUCCGUCUUCUCACGGACGCCAUCGUCCACGAGGACGCGUGCGAGGCCAAGCUCCUCCUGGACAAGAUCCGAGCCGACCUUGGACGCCUCGAGGGCGCGUUCAACGACAUCCACCAGAGCGAGAAGACCAUCGAAGGCUCCUUCGGCGCCGUGCAGCACCUCGUCGACGAGCUGCUGCUCGACGCCGCGGCCGCGCCGGUGGCCACCUCGAGCCGGCAGGACCAGCUCAGGUGUCUCAUCACCGCGCUGUCGUCCGUCGACAGAGAGGUCGCCGCGAUAACCGACCGUGUCAACGACACGUUCCGCCUCUCCACAGCUGCCGCUGCCGCGGCCGCGGCCGCGGCAACGCCGGCCGCGCGCGCCGCCUCAAGUUGCUGGGGCGGCGCGCUAGAGAGCAGCUGGGAGACGCGGCGGCAUCUGCAGCUCGCGUCGCGAUGGACAGCCUCGACACGCGGCUCAAGCGCUGCCUCCUCUGCUUCGUCGUCUUCCCGGACGACGCGGCGAUCAAGAGGAGGCUGCUCAUCCACUGGUGGGUCGGGGAGCGCCUGGUCGACUCCGUCGACCAAGGGAAGGAGGUGUUCGACGAGCUCGUGUCCUCGACGGGGUUCGUCACGCCACUGCGGCGACCGCACUGCAGCAAGGUCCACGGCUGCAAGAUUCAGCCAUGGGUUCGCGUUCUGCUCGUAGCCUGUGCGCGGAGGAACGCUUUCCUCGACGGGGUUCGUCACGCCACUGCGGCGACCGCACUGCAGCAAGGUCCACGGCUGCAAGAUUCAGCCAUGGGUUCGCGUUCUGCUCGUAGCCUGUGCGCGGAGGAACGCUUUCUUGGACCUCGACGCCAAUGGCAUGCCCAGGGACGACUUCGCCAGGACGCGCCGCGCCUGUCUCCGCGAAGGGAGGACGGUUGCCUCCGGCGCCGGCGCCGGCGGAUUCCGUUGGGACGUGACGACGAUAUACAACGUCGACCGGCGGUACGUCGACCUGGACAAGUCGUGGUUCGCGCGGAAGGAAGAGCUGACCACAUUGCAGCUCGGGACAUGGAGGGACCACGGCUACGACCCCCGCGCGCACCACGUCGAGCUCAUCAACGGCGAGCUCCUGCGCGGCAUCGGCGCCUGUCGGAACAUGAGGUACCUGAGCUUCCGAGGCAUCUCCAGGAUCGAGGCGUUGCCGGACUCGAUCGGCGGCCUGUGCAGCCUCAUCGUCUUGGACCUCAGAUCAUGCCACAACCUCGCGACGCUCGGCGAAGGGAUCAAAUCUCUCGUCUCGCUCGAGUACCUCGACGUGUCGGGAUGCUACCUUCUCGGCGAAAUGCCCAGGGGAUCGGGAAGCUCUCAAAGCUGCAGGUGAUCAAGGGAUUCGUGGUCGCCAACUCCAGCAGCAAGGACCCGUGCCGUCUCAGCGAGCUGCGCGCGCUAACGAGACGAGGCUGAGGAAGCUGAGCAUCGUGAUAGGCCGGACGGCCAGGCCGGAGGCGGACGAGGUGACGGCGCUCGCGAGCCUCCCCGCGCUCCGGUCGCUGACGAUGACAUGGAGCGGGGUGUCACCGGCGGAGCAAGAUGGUCGAGAUGCAACUGACAAGGUGGCGUUCGCGCUCCCGUCUGAGCUCGAGAAGCUGGACCUCCGGUGCUUCCCGCUGCCGGACUUCCCACGGUGGGCGGAGCCUCACCUGCUGCCGCGCCUGGAGAAGCUGUACGUUCGCGGCGGCAUGAUCACCGGCCUCGGCGAAGGCGGCGGCGGCUCGGCGGUGAAGGUGCUUCGGGUCAGGUUCCUCAGGCACCUCGACUAUUCUUGGGAGAAGCUGCACGACGCAUACGGGAAGCUUGAGAUACUGGAGGUGUGCGAGUGCUCCAACGUGCAGGCUUGGCCUGCUUGUCGUGGUGGGCUUGGGCUUUGGAGGAAGGGAGAAGAUUGCUAGAGUUUUUCACUCUCUCCUCACCGGAUCUGAUCAACGACGAUAAAAUAUUGUUGCGUCCAAGUAUCCAACUGCCCUGAAAAUAAUAUUUCUAUGAGUUUUUUUCACCCUUCUUCACUGUAAGGCUGUGUUCUUUGGUUGAAGCUCUCAACUCACAUCUCUUGUUUUUCUCGCACAAGUUUUUUCAAAUUGUUAAAUGGUGUGUUUUCUUUAAAAAAAUUAUAUACGAAAGUUAUUUUAAAAAUCAUAUCAAUAUUUUUUUAAAAAAUAGCUAAUACUUAAUUAAUUAUGUGCUAAUGAGUCAUUCCGUUUUACGUGUGCAAGAGAUUAGUUGCCAACAACAGAAAAAAUGUAGCAGCCUAAAUGUACAAUUGUUUACAUAUUUCCAUCGAUUCAGUGACGGAGCAAGGAAUUUAUUAACCCUAUAAAUUGAUUGUUGAAUAGUAUAGGAGAAUAUUGAACAUGUUGUAUUGUAUUGAGCCUCAGGACUGGAGGCCCGGCAACCUUCCUGCCCUCCAUGGCGAAAGUUGACGUCAGGACCGACCGGCAGAUGGUGGCGAGACCGAAGGUCAGGGCUGGUUCCAAGCGGCGUUGGCGCGCUGGUGGUGGCGGCCUAGGCGGAGGAGGAUGCCGGCCAAGACGGGUCUCCCCGUGCCAAGUGUCGCGCCGAUGAUGGUGGCGCGACAACGAAGGUUGAAGGAGAAGGAAGACGAGCGGUAGACCGUGGGUGAGACGGGCGGGAGCCCGAUGUUGUGGACACGGCCUCCAGAUCAAGGUGGGGGCGUCAGGAGGCGUGGAGAAGGGGCGGGCGGUGGGCUCCGACAGGCGGAGGGCCGCCAACGUCGAUGGUGAAGCGGCUAACCGGAGUCUCAGCUAACAACCGAGACCUAGUAGCAUUGAAGCUCGGUCCACCCUGCUUUGUACGAGUGCAUAUUACUAACCAAUGCGCCGCAAUCAACAAUUACGAUGAUCAUGGUUAGGCUAAGGGUGUGUUUAGUUCACGCUAAAAUUAGAAGUUUGGUUGAAAUUGGAAUGAUGCGAUGGAAAAGUUGGAAGUUUAUGUGUGUAGAAAAGUUUUGAUGUGAUAGAAAAGUUAGAAGUUUGAAGAAAAAUUUUAAAACUAAACUUGGCCUAAGUAAUUAAGGUCCUUACAUUGUAACCUUGAAACAGACAGGCCAUUGAUCAGUGGAUGGUAAAAAAAUGCUGAACCUAAUCAGAGCAUAGAAGGUGCGUCACACAGAAAUUCAGUUGACGUGUUCACCCCCAGCAUCUACUCUUGACCGGAUCUGAUUAACAAACGUUGCAUCCAACUGGCCUGACAUUAAUUUCUUUUUGGGGCUUUUGUGUCCCCCUGCUUAACUCUGCACGUACAAUCGUUAAUGUAACCAUGGACCAGUUGAUGUAUUUGAUGAACUGCUUCAACAAAGUAAGUAAAACAACUGUGACUUGAACUACUCCAAAAGUUCAGUAGUAGCAAGGAGGUUUAGAGCAUACUAACCUCUUCAGCACCGUUGAUCUCCCUUCACUAAUCUGCUCAUAACUACAGCAGGAUGGUCAAAAUGCUGAAGAUAAGCAGAGCAUAUAUAUGCACCGACGAGUAUUUCUGUUUCUCACACACAGAGAUAUUCAGGUCACGUACAUGACAUGUUAUGAUUAGCUGCCCCUGCCAUUAGGUGAAGCGAAUAAAACCCCUGACCAAACCGACAAGCAUUCAUGGUCAUGGGGUGCGCGACCGCUGCACCACACCACACCAGCUCACACUCACACUCACACUCGCACGCAUCGAUCUCAUUCAUUUCAUUACUACCUGGCUCCAUCGCAUCAGCAUGAUAUAUGUGUAGUAGUGCAAGUUUUAUACACACGCGACAAGGACGAGAAUACAUUAUAUGGGCAUGAUGUCCCAAUUACGAGCGACUGUACGUACGAGAGACACUGACAUUCAGAUUCAGAUCCCUCCUUUCCUUAUCUGCUCAAAAUUUACUGCCUUUUUUUCUAUCUAUAUCUUCAGUUUACUACUGUUAAGCCGUGUGUGUACGAUUAGUACUGGUUUGUCAAAGGUGAAUGGAAUAAAGCAUGCGGUAAUAAGGACAAUGAGGUUAGGACAGCAAAGAUCCACUACUGCUCAGUACAGUUGCAGGUAGAAAACAAAGCGAUCGACCAACCAAACCAAACCAACAAACAAACCAAUUAAGCUAGCUCUGAUGAUGAAUGAUGAUGAUUCCCCCGUGAGAUUGCUACCUCCAUUUGCUAAAGCCAAUCCCACCGAGAUCGCUUCUUCACCGGCGCUAGCUACCGUCGCCAUCACCUCCUCCUCCGACGCGCCAAGAGAGACCCGUGCUUUCUUGCUGCGUGGUAUAUACAAUUGCACACUUGCUCGAGCAAUUUAUUAGUAGGAGUAGUGUCGCUUCGUCCUCACUCUCACUCUCCUCCACUGAGCUAAGCUUAGCUUAGCUUAGCUUCUCCUCCCCGCUUCUUCUUCUUGCCCAUCCCACUCGCCGGCCGCCGCCAACCGGAGAGGAGGCAAGAACGGUGGUGCGACAAUGCAGCCGUUGCGGCCGAGCCCGGCGGCGGGCGGGUGGGCGGGGGUCGCCGGGGUGGGGCCCACCACCGUCGACGAGGCCUCCAUGGAGCGGAGCAAGAGCUUCGUCAAGGCACUGCAGGUGCGUGCCCGCAUUCCAUCCCAGAUCCCUCGCGCUCACAAGAAUGUCUCGUUUCCUUCGCUUAAUUUUGUCCAUGGAUCCGGCCGGUUCUUGGUUUGUGGUGGUGGUGAUGCCUUGCGUCUGUGCGUGUGCAGGAGCUCAAGAACCUGCGGCCUCAGCUCUACUCCGCCUCCGAGUACUGCGAGAAAUCCUACCUCCACAGCGAGCAGAAGCAGAUGUGAGUGAGGUUUUAGCUCUUUGGUGCAUUUUGUUACCACUUACCAUUUUAAUUUACAAUCAUAAAAUCAGUGGUAAAUUUGCAUCUUGCAUGGUAUCUAGCUCUACUUUCGUCUUUUGUUUUAGGGGUUGAAUUGAAUUGAAUCGAAUCGUUGGUACAUCGUGUGCUAGCAGUUAAUUAUAUGAUAGGUAUUGGAGGCUAAAACCACCUAAUAAGUGAAGGAGGACAGCAACAUGUGUGGCAAGGGGACUUGAUGUUGAGAUGUGACAACAAAACAAACUCUACUGCCUAAAGAAGAAUAUAGGAUGUCUGUAUUCUCUGGAAUUUUGGAUUUAUCUAACCACCAUCUCUGUAUACUACUAGUAUAUUCAAUUUGGAAUUUUGCAGCCCACAUGUUACUAUUAGGGGCUUUUCUCAUAUUUGUUAAUGUAGAAGAAAUUCUGAAACAUGGGUUCUAAAAUGUUUAUUUUAGAAAAAGACCAUAUGGUAAUUCUAAAGCAUUGUUUCUUAGUGCAUCGUAUUUUCAUAAUUUGAAGCUUUUCUGCUGAUAUAGGGUGCUGGAAAACCUGAAAGAUUAUGCUGUACGAGCUGUCGUCAAUGCUGUUGAUCACCUUGGUACUGUUGCAUACAAAUUAACGGACCUGUUUGAACAGCAAGCUUCUGAGGUCUCUACGGUUGAGCUGAAGGUUGCACGCUUAAACCAGGUAAAGCUAUAUCUGCUUUGCAUGCAGUAUGUGCUGAUCAAACCAUGACAAUUUAACUGACAAUAUCAGUUUAUCCUAUCCUCCAAUUUAUAGCAAAUCCUCACCUGCCAAAUCUUCACCGACAGAGCAGGCCUCAGGCAGCAGAAGAUUGGUGGAACAACUUUUAAACAUCAUAAGCACUAUAUCCUACCAUGUAAGGAUGUAUACAAUUAAGAACUUCUCCACUGUUUUUUCCAAUUAAAUGCUAAAUCUUGCCUAUACUUACUUGCCAAGCUAGCUACCGGUCAUAAAAGAACUCAAGCUGCACGCCUGCAAACAGACAAUGGUCAGGAUUCAAAACCUAAACCUUAUCCUUCAGGUAUGGACCUUCUUGUUCCUUUUUGUUCAGAUUGCAAAUUUUAUGGAUGCUACUUUUCAUAUGAACCAACAAACAACAUUUCAUAUUUGGACUGCAGCCAAGACCCUUUCAUGGCAUCUGUCUUCAGAGAACAGCAUUUCGACAACUGGAGCACAGAAAUAUACAUUUACGUAAGAUACUAUCAUUAGUUGUUUUGUUCAGUUCUGUUUAAAUUGCACCUUUCUUCAUUUACUAAGGUGCAAUGGAGCUAUUCUCUUCUGAUCUAUCUUCUUGUCAUCUUUUGUGCAGACUAGGGGAUACUAUAUCGUCUAAACCUGCAUCAAAUGGUUCCAUGUACCUUCUAGGUAAUCAAACACUAUGCUAAAUUGUGUUGUGUCUCAUGACCAUGAUCUGAUGAUGGAUGUGCGCAUAUCGUUUAACUGUAAAAUAGGGGGAUUUUGAAAUAUUCGUAUGCCAAUUGAGUGUUCCAUCUAAAUAAUUGAUCUUUCAGGCAAGGACAUACCUGCUUCUCCCAUGCACAAGCCUCUGCAACCGAAUGGGAACACCAGUUUUGAUGCUAAGAAAAAUGUUGGUUCAAAGGUAAAUAAUUGGAAUAUAAAAUAAGCUUAGUAGGAGUAUGAAUUAAAAACAAGUUAAUAUUUUACCAUCAUACUUGUCUAUAUUCAGUAAAAUGGGUUUAUCCCCAUAUAGUUGUUUUGUUCUUUAUGAAACCCAACAAAAGCAAAUUACCAUGUCUGCAUUUUCAGGACCAGCCUGGUUUCAUGCAUAUGUCGACAUUUAAUGCAUUGGACAAACCUAGAGGGCGUGAAAUCCAAAAGGUUCCAGUUAGCACUAAAAGCAUGCUAGCUACCCUCUUUAUCAAGCACAAGUCAGCAAAGACGAGAAAGGCCUCAGUUCGAUGAUUAGUUCCCGUUUGUGUGUGUGAAGUGAUAUCACUGUAAAGUUCAAGCAAGAGGCUUAUUGUAAAUCUGAUUUUCGCUUGUGCGGUUUAGAGCUGAAUGUGUAAGUGUCAAUUUUUCAGGUCAGCAUCAGUGGUGCCAUUCCUGUUGAUGAACAAAAUGUAGUAAUUCUGCAUCAGCGCCCAAUCAGUUCCAUGUUGUUGCUGUGCUAUUCUGCUUCUAAGAAGCCUCGGCUUUCAGCAGACAAUAAAAUUCAUAUUCGAAAUGGAGCUGCUGGCUUGUAGAGAUACUUCUGAUGUUCUUCGUAUCCUUUUCAAGGGAGAUUUGUACCAGAUUUGCUGGCAUAUGGUCCUGUCAUCGCGAACAUUUUGUUGCGAUCCAAAUUCUGAAAGGUCAAUUGGGCUGUGGAAUCUGGCAUUGAAGCAAGAUGCAUUGGGCUGACCAUUAACGGAUCCCCAAUCCUCGCUUCAAUGGUCAAAUUCUUCUUAACCUUAAAACCUUCUCGAGUUAUCAACUUAUCUAUCGUCAAAGAGUUCAUUGCCAAAUUCUUCUUCUGGCAAAGAAAAGUAAUCAAAUUUCGAAGCAUACAUCAUCAGUUAAAUUCAGCUUCACCAGAAAAGCGUUAUCUUGCCUUGCCUGAUAUGAUCAGUAGAAACUGUUUUACAGAGCUCUUUUUAUCAAGAGACAGAAAACAUAUGGCCAGAAAGCACAAGCAUACAUACACAAACGCACCACACCCACUUCAGAGAGCUAUCCACCAUGAUACAUAACGAGUCCAAUAUGCCUUGCAUAUACUUCAUUGAAUUCCGCCGAUACGAACUGCUCUUGUAACAUUUACAAAGAUAAUGCUCACUUCCCUAAGAUGGAACCAUAUAGAAUUUGUGAAAGGAAAAAAACUUCACAAUAACUGUAGGAAAGGCUUAAAACAUCCGCCGUCGAUUUGGAACAAUCUCAGGGCUGUUGUUCUUCAUCAUGGCAACAAACUCCUGGUAGUUAAUUCUUCCAUCCUAAGCAGUAAGUCAGGACACAGUAUUUAGUAGGAAAUCCAUGCAGUUCCCGUUUUAAUGUUCACUUUUGAAUAAUAGCAUCAGCAAUUUUCAGUUAUUCACCCACAUCAUGUAUUCAUGUUGGUGGAAGUAUAUUGCUUAGAGAAGGAAUGAUUUCUCGAUAGCUAACCUUUUUAUUUAUCUAACAGGAACUCGAUUACUAGAGAGCAGGAUGGAUCAAAGUUCACUAGCUUACAUAGUUUAUUAAUAUAGUUAGAUUUACCCUAUGAAAAUUAUAAUUAGCCAGCAUCCAUGAUCUUAGAGAUGGCUGAGCAACAUUCAGCAUACUUGAAAACCAAAUCUCCUCCAAUGUUUUCAAGAUAUUCAAUGUAAUCAAUUCGAUUAUCCUGAUUUAAAGGCCGCAGGAAUGAUUAUUUUCAUAUUCUAAACGUUGAUGACAUAUCAAAAAGUAAUCACUGGAGUUUUCUAGGUAUUUAGUGGAGUGACUCACAUGGUCUGUAUCCACUUCAGCAAUUAUUUCUUUAAUUGUCGCUUCAUCACCCAUGUCGUACUUUGUCAGAGCUUCUUCCAAUUCAUCGACUGUUAUGAACCUGUACAGAAACAAGCAAACAACAAACUAGUUAAUCCAAAAGAUCGAACCUAUCAAAAUGAUUUUCAAAAAAAUGACAGAAGUAAACUUACCCGCUGUGGUCCUUGUCAAAAUAUUCAAAUGCUUUAUAUAUGUGAUCUUCCUUCUCUAAUCUAUUCAUGUGCAUCGUUGCUGAUAUAAAUUCAACAUAAUCAAUGGACCCAUUUCCAUCAACAUCAGCCUAUGCAAGAAGAAAAUAUUAUCAGAUAGGAAAGGAGAAAAGAUUUAUGAACAACAAGCUGAAACAGAAAAUGUUGAAUCUAACAGACAAGUUCUAGCUGUGGAAAAGUCAAUUCCAUCUUAACUCAGUAUACUGUUUAAAGUCACAAAGUAUGGUUCCAUUUCUCCCUUUUCGGAUAUAUGAACAGGACAUUUACUAGGAUGACACUACAAUAUUGGCACUGUUUGGAUCCGGAGGGCUAUUAAAUAGCCCUCCGGAAUCUUGCUAUUUAGGAGUAUUAAACGUAGAUUACUGACAAAACCUAUUCCAUAACCCCUAAGCUAUUUUGCGAGACGAAUCUAACGAGGAAUGUUAAUCCAUGAUUUGCUACAGUGAUGCUACAGUAAUUAGCCGCUAAUCAUGGAUUAAUAUACAUCAUUAGAUUCGUCUCACAAAAUAGCCUAGGGGUUAUGGAAUCGGUUUUAUCGGUAAUCUACGUUUAAUACUCCUAAAUAGCAAGAUUCCGGAGGGCUAUUUAAUAGCUCGGAGGAUCCAAACAAGGCCAUUAUAGUGAACUACUGGCAUUGGUACAGAAUCAAGAUAUGAGCGUGCAGAGACAGAAAGAGAAUAUGAGCAUACCGCUUCCAUCAACUGCCUUAAUUCUGAUUCCGAAAUUUUAGUGCCAAGCUUUGGUAGACCAGCUCUUAGUUCUUCAAGAGUUAUCGUCCCACUGUUAUCAGUAUCUAAAGAUUUGAACAUUUCCUUUAAACCCACAAUCUCUUCCUCUGACAAGUUCUCUGCAACGACCUAGCCAUAACAUAAUAAAAGACAAGAUUUAUCAUGUAUUGCAGAAUAAAGUGCAAAGCCAUAGAGAAGAAAUGCUUGAUGUUCAAAACAUCUUAUUACCUUCAAGGCAACCUUCUUAAGUUUGUUCAUUGCUCUGAACUGCUUCAUUCUACUGAUCACUGUAAUAUCAAGUGGUUUAUCUGGGGCCUCUCCAUCCUCUCUAAUCCAUGGGUGGUCUGUGUAUUUAAAAUAUCAGAUUAAGAUACUAUACACAGAUGAAGAUUUAGUUUGUAAAAUCACCACAAAUGCUUUUACUAAUAAUAGCAAGCAGUGCGCUUUAAAAGUUCCAACCACACAUAUGGGCAAAUCAAUUCGUAGAACCAAGAUUGGCAACAAAUAGCAGAGUUUGAAAAUAUCAACUUACUCAAAAUUUCAGCAGCAGUUAACCGCUCCUUUGGGUCCUGCCGAAGCAUCCGCUUGACCAAGUCUUUUGCACCACUAGAUAUAGAAGGCCAUGGUUCAGAUGAGAAGUCGAUAUGACCUUGCAGAACAGCAUCAAAUAUACCGUCCUCGUUUUCUGGUAAAACCAACAAAGGGUCCAUGUUAGGAUAAUGGUAUCAAAAUCUAUUGGAUGCUUUCUUGUAUUGAACCUGGUUCUGGGCUUUCUUACUAAAAGCCUGAUGACAUAGUGAUCUGCUCUAUAAAAAAACUUUUUGAUGCAAAGAGCAGCGAUAUGUAAUGUACCUGCCCAGAAUGGAGGAACCCCUGAUAGAAGGAUGUAAAGGAUAACUCCAGCACUCCAUAUGUCUGCCUCAGCUCCAUAUAGUCGUUUUAGGACCUCAGGAGCCACAUAAUAUGCACUUCCAACAAGAUCUCUGAACUGCUCACCUGCAUUCCCACACCACCCCAUCAGUUUGAACACACCUUGAGCACCCCAUCAGUGCUACGAUUCAUGACAUUUCCUCUCUUGUGGUCCUGAAACAAAAGCCCAUGCCUUGCCUAACAUGAUGCACAGGCCUUUGCCGCUAUAUUUGUCCCUGAUCCCGCUUUGAGUUGACCAUGAGAGCGUAAAUGAAGUGUAAUCCGACAGGAUACCAUAGUCAUCGCAGUUGGAAGGUGUCCACACAGAGAGCAGAUGAUGGCUAAUAGAUUGGUGGUGGAUUUGGUUUGUGUAAAUUAUUUAUAUUAAUUUGGAGGAAGCAGCAAGGAAUGGGCAGUAGAAAAGAAAGAUGGGAGGAUACCGGGCUUGAAGAAGACGGAGAGGCCAAAAUCGGUGGCUUUGAGCGGGGAGUCCUCGCGCUUGUUGAGGAAGAGGAAGUUCUCGGGCUUGAGGUCCCUGUGCAUGACCCCCAUGGAGUGGCAGCUGUGGACGACGGAGACGAUCUCCCUGCAGAGGGCGGCGGCGGCGCGCUCGGAGUAGUGGCCCCUGGCGAUGAUGCGGUCGAAGAGCUCGCCGCCCUCGCAGAGCUCCAUGACGAGGUUGACGGAGUGGCGGUCCUCGUAGGCGCCGCGCAGCUCGACGAUGUUGCGGUGGCCGGUGAGGUGGUGCAUGAUGUGGACCUCGCGGCGGACGUCGUCGAGGUCGUCGGGGCGGGCGAGCUUGCGGGCGGCGAUGGACUUGCAGGCGUAGCGUCGGCCGGUGGGCUUGUGGGUGGCGAGGUAGGUCACCCCGAACUGCCCCCGCCCCAGCUCCCGCCCGAAGGUGUAGGUCGCACGGACGUCCUCCAUGGGCCGCCCCAGCACCCGCCCCACCCCAUCCUCCGCCGCCGCCUGCUGGGGCGCCUGCUGGGGCUGGUGCCGCGGCGGCGGCGGAGGCUGAGAUCGCGGCUGCUGCGGCGGCGGUGGCUGGGGCUUGGGCUUGGGCUUGGGGGCCCGGGUGGUUUGGUGGUGGUGGUGGUGCUUGUGGUGUGGGGAUGGGGAUUGGGAUUGGGAUUGGUCGGGGGAUUGGCGGUGGCGAGAGGCGCGGGCGCCCAUCGGUGGCGAGAGGGGUUUUGGCUUUGGUUUUGGGGGUUUGGAUUGGGGGGAGGAGGAGGAGGAGACCAUGACUUUGGCAUUGCUCUGCUCUGCCGUGCUGUAUUAUCAAAUCAUCGUCGACUACAGUCUCGUAGGGCGUUGGGUUUGCGCGUGGUUCCCUUCCCCUCCCCCGCGUGUCUCCGCGUCGGACGCCACCAUUCCCCUCCGCGUGGGGACGCGCGCGCGCACGGUCGCCGUUGUGUGCUGCGGCUUGCGACACGAGAGGGGAGGUUGACGGGCGAUUUCUGGGGCGGCCGUGUCCUGCGCUCAUUCGACGCCGCCGCCGCCACGAACCUUCCUCCCGUCCCGACCAACAACCGACACAAGACUUCUCUUAUCAACUUUCCACCUCCUUAUAUUAUUAAUGAAAAAUUAAUGAAUUCUGCUCUCACAGAGGGUCUUCCUCCUCCUUCUCUCUUGCUUUUCAGCAUUCAUAACUUGCAUGGACCGUCAUCUCCGUCUAUAAAGUUUUAGUCCCUCUGUCUCAAAAUAAAUGCAGUUUUGCACUGUUUAUGUUUAACUUUUGACCAUUCAUCUUAUUUGAAAUUUUUUUAUGAUUAGUAUUUUUAUUGUUAUUAAAUGAUAAAACAUGAAUAGUACUUUAUGUGUGACUAUUUUUUUUUCAAAUUUUUCAUAAAUUUUUUAAAUAAAACGAACGGUCAAACGUCGGACACGGGGUUCCCUAUGACUGCACUUUUUUUUGAGAUGGAGGUAAUACUCUGUACUCAGUUGCGUCACUUUCUCUUAAGCCAGCUCGUGACGACGCUGACCAACCGCAACUUCAUCACUUUCUCCCUCACCGUGCGUGCUCCCUCCUCGUUGGACCCACGCCACGUCACCACCGUACUAACAAACGUUUCACGGGGCUUCAGAUUUUACUACAACAACUAGACCCUGUUUUCUACCUUCAACCACGUCCCCAUUCUGCAUUUGUUUGUCACUACUUGUCACGGAGCACGUACUUCAUGGAGUUUAUUACUACAACUACAUCAUUCAUCUAUUCAUUCAUUGAUGGCCAUCAAGACAUCAAGAGGUACUUAGAGGGUGUUUGGAAUUUUGGAUCAGAGACUAAACUUUAAUCUAUGUCACAUCGAAUAUUUGGAGUAUUAAACAUAUUCCAUUAACAAAACUAAUUUAUUAACUUAUUAAAGGAAUAGAAAAUGAAGCAUCCACGUUCGCUCUCACGGCCUAGAAAUUCUCAUAUUAAUCGAAGAAAAAGAAAAACAGAGUCCAUAUAGAAAUAUAAUUUAGAAAUAGUUAAAAUUCAGAAUAAAAAAGACUAGAGUCCAUAUAGAAAUAUAAUUUAUAAAUAACUGAAAUUCGGAAUUAAAAAAAUAAGGAAUAUUAGAAGUAGAGUAUAGAGUCCAUAUAGAAAUACAAUUAGGAAAUAAUGGAAAUUCGGAAUUAAAAAUAAGGAAUAUUAGAAGUAGAGUAUAGAGUCCAUAUAGGAAUUUAAAGCUAACUAAAAUUCAAAAUAAGUAUAAUAAAAUUAAAAGUAUGGUUUAGAGUCUGUAUAAAAAUAUAAUUUAUAAAUAACUAAAAUUCAAAAUUUUAAAAAAAACACAUGGGAAGAAGAGUCUAAAGUCAAUAUAGGAAUACAAUUUAGAAGUACCUGAAAUUCGAAAUUAAAAAAAAUUAAAGAAUAUUGAAAGAUGAGUUUAAAAUCCACAUAGAAAUACAAUUAUAAAUAAUAAAAAUUCAAAAUUAAAAAUAAAUAAUAUUGAAAGAAGAGCCUAGAGUCUACAUGGAAAUACAAUUUACAGAUAACAAAAAUUCGGAAUUAAAAAAAUAUUGAAAGACGAGUCUAGAGUCUAUAUAGGAAUAUAAUUUACAAAUAACUAAAAUUUGAUAUUAAAAAUAAUUAAUAACUAACACGUAUAUAAAAUACAAUAUGAAUAUUACAUAUUAGUAGUUUCGUAAAGUUAGUACAAAAUUUAAAAUUAUGUUGUCAAUUUAAUAUAUUUGAAUAAUACAUUGAGAAAACAUAUAUGCUAUUAUAUGAGAGAAAAUAUAAUGAUGCUAGCCGCGCAAUCUGUGUGGGCCACCAUGCUAGUUACAUAAAUAAGAGAUAAUUCGCGAGAUAUUUUACAUCCGUGCUCGUUGCCUCCCCCAUCGGAUGGCUUAAAUCCAUUUGGCAAAAAAGGUUGUGUUCGAUCCCCAACCGCGAUGUGCUAGGGUUUGGAGGCCCGGUGUUCAAUCCCAUCUUCCCUCCGUGCAGCCGCUAGGAUCAGUUUUAUCUUCUUUCUUUCUUUCUUUCCGUGUCAUUGUUAUUAGAUUAGAUUCUAAGUUCCCUGUUGAGAUUCCUUGCUGCUCAUGGGGGCCUGCCGAAAACUACCUCACCUGAUUACGUUUUGUUUUUGGUUUUAGCCCCUUAUUUUUUUUAUAUGCAGAUAGCGCUCGCCGGAAAUUCCAAGCAGUAUAUAGAAUUAUAGAUCGCCGACAUGUGUAGGCGUUUCUUGUUUCAGGAAUUCUCGUCCGUGCUGUCCAGAUCGAUGCCUAAUCGUCCUACCUCCGCUGUAUGUAUACACACUCCUCCAAAUCUUUCAAAUUUCUGGUUUUUCUUUCACAGCAGGGAAGAGCAUAAUUGCUCUUUUCCUCCUCUCAGGAAGGAGGAGGCGUUUCUGCUAUCAACAAUGUUUUUAAUGGAGCUCUCCGUCGUUUUAGCACGGUGAUUCCCAAUAACCAUGGCCUUCCUGUUUCUGUAAGUAGCUAAUAGUACUCAAUUUCUUUGCUAGCACUAGUUUUACACUUUCAAACCGGCCAAUUUAUAAUUCCUUUUCUUUUUUAAAAAAAGAACAAGGCGGUGCCUUUUCUUUUGUUUCCUUUCUCACAUCUAUGCAAUUUUCGAUAACUUUGAUUUUUCCACAAUAUAAGAGUGAACUUGUAUGCCUUUGUUGAAAAAAAAAAUAUUAAUUUCCUUGUACUGCCUUCCAAUGCAGCAAGCAAAGUGCCUGAAUUCUAUUCAAAGCCCUAACGCAGCUACCAAAGCAAACCACCCAACAAUUGGUGUGGUUCCUUUUGCCAGCCGGACUUUCUUCUCUUAUACAAAACCCUACCACCUGCCUUCUCUGGGUGAAACCAAUUACCUGGAUUAUGCAGCAGCAGACUUUAAAGCGUAAGUCUGAGUACUAGCCUGUAUCAGUUUACUUCCUGUUACUUGAAUUGAUGUGUUUAUUGUUGGCUUAGCCCGAAUCUUGUUCUGCUAUAUAUAAACUAAAUUUCAGCUUAUUAUUUGGUCUUUUCUUUAUUUGCGGGAUGCAUUUGAGAGCAUAUAUUGUCAUUGUAGUUCCCGUUAGAUCUGGUUACAGGGACGGCUGUUAAGGAGUUACAGGCCAGAUGAUGAUUGUAUUUUUUUUGUUUGUUAAUAUAUGAGCAACUCUAAUAAAAUUUUAGUUCAUUAGUUGGAUCCUUCCCAUAGUACAUGAUUGUAGGAAAGCAAAUACUAGUAAUCUAGGUCGAUCAAAUUAAACAUAAUCGAAUGAAAGAACCUGUUUACAGGAAAAAGGUAAACUUUGCUCCCCUGAACUUUAGCUAUGGGAAUUUUUGCAACAUAGGUUCUGAUCCCGUCUAUCAUCCCAUAAACUUUCAACUUAGAACACAGCUUGUACGACAGGAAGCAAAAAUGCCAGUUGUUUUUAGGGAUUAAAACAAGCUAUAUCACUUCUUUUAGUGAAAUAGUUUCGCAGUAGAAAAAUGGACUGAUUUUUAACUUAAUUAUGGGGCAUGAGCAUCCGCAUGUAUAGUUUCUCCUUUUCUGGUGGACAGUUGUUAUUCUUUUUUCUGGAGAAAUCUCCAGUUCAAUUAAACCUAUGAAAACUCAAUUUUUCUAUGUUCACGAAGAAAUUAUUAAAGGUAGGGAUAGGCAUGGUCUCUUUCUCACCAAAUUUCUAAGACCAAACUCAACUUCGUUUGGAAGAUUAAAAGAAGACAAAUUCUGCAUGAAACUUUCCUAUCACUAUCCGUUCAAAGUUUGUAUUUCUUGUAUCUUGCAAGCAAAUUUGAAUUUGGUGUUGAAAUCUUGUGGAGAUAUAGACCAUGCCUAUACCUACCUCUAAUAUUUUACUCACAAUUUUUUUCAUGAUUGUAGAGAUCUUUUACGUCCUGUUUUGAGAGGUUUGUAUCUAUUAUUUUCACUUGAUCCUCUUAGGAUAUGUUUGGUAGGGCUCCAAAUUUAGAGCUAGAGUUGUGGAGGUGGGAAAAGGUAUCUCCACCCUUCCUAUGUGUAUUACGGAGCAGAUUCAUUGUAGUAGUGUUUGGUUCGGCUCCAGCUCUACUGAACAAGGAUCUAGGAGUUGGAGUUCUGCCAAACAACCCCUUAUACUAGUGUGGAAUAUGAAAAAUGACACUAUUUUGCCUUCUGGAUGAAUUAGAUAGAUAGUCAAAUAGUAUGUUAAUGCAGCUAUGUCCAAAUCGAUUUGAAUUAUGUAGUGAGUUUCUCCCUCCAUCUACUUUUUAUAGUCAUAUUUUAUCUUAGCACACAGACAAACGAUAAGUAAUUCUACCUAUCAUCUAGUUAAACAUUCUACUAGUCAUUCCUCGUAAACAAGCGAUUAAUUAAUAUUUACAUUUCUCAAUACUCAUGUAGCCAAUUAUGUGUAGAAGAAUAGAGAGUCACGCAUUAAAUCUGAGAAAACCAUUAAGAUGAUAAGUUGUUGGAUUAAAAUAUGCCUAUCAAAAAUAAAUUUUUCAGAUUUAAAAAUAUGACUAUCAAAAAUAGAUAGAGGGAGUACUAUGUUUUAUGUGGUGCAGGUCGGAAGAUGCUUUCAGAAGAGGCAUGAGGAAUAUAAGGUUUGUCAUUGCUGUUAAUGCCGCUAUAUGGUGUUCCAACAUUUACUAUAUGAUCGUCAGCGCUGCCAUGGUGAUAAGUCCAAAGAUGAAAGUAGGAACUUCCAGGAACCAUGAGGUGGGCUAGUUUGUGUUCCCCUAAUUGUGCUUUAGACUGCACUGAACAACUAAAUAUUAAGUCUGUAUCCCUUGAACUCCGUACCGAUCAAAUAUGGAGCCUGGAAUAUUUUAUUUGUUUUAUAUGUUGAAGUGAUACGUGCAAUAUAUAUAUGUAUUAUUAUUACAAGGCUUCUGUUAUGGAUAUUACAGAGAGUCAUCUCGGUGGGAUGUACUAGAAAGCAGGGGUGGUCUGUUUUGUUUAUUUUGAAUGAAUGGGUUUAUUGUUGGCUUAUUGUAAAUUGCAUUUCAGCUUAUUCCAUUUUUAUUCACCCGCGUUGCAUUUUAAGCAUAUUAUGUCGUUAUGGUUGCUCUAUUGUUUUUUUUUCUAAAUUGGGCCCUUUCCCUUCUAUUUCCUCCAUCCCACAAUAUCAUAAAUUUUGUUGGACAUUAAACAUGUUCAGAUUCGCCAACUUAGAUUGUUAUAUUACAGAACAAGGAGAGUAUAAAAUUGAACUUUACAUCAUUACAGACGGACAGGAGUAUAAAAUUGCAUCAGGGAGAGACGAAAGGGAGGAAGAGGCUGACGAGUGGACCCCACACUGUUUUCCACCUAACUUUGCCACGCGGACAAAAGUGGCAAAUAGUUAAGACCAUCUUUUAAGAAGGGCAAAAAAUUAAGUGUAAACCUAAAAGGGUAUUUAAAUAAUUACCAAACCUAAAAGUGGCAAAUAGUUAAAUUCCCCUGUAUCAGCAUACAGUUACUGGUUUGUCUCUGCCUCUCUGCACGUUAUCAACACCGUUCGAGGACUUUUUUUUUUUAAGAUAAUAAAUAGAUAAAAAUCUAGCCUUUGGUUCAACAGAAGCUAGCUACAUUAGAGUUGGAUAACUUAAGGUGCUUAAUUAUACACAACAGCUGCCCAUACACAUUACCAAGGAUAAUCAUAAAGGUUGGUUGCAUGUUUCUCAUAUCGAUCGCCGGUGCUUCUAAACCUCAUCUUCGUCAAUUCGACGCGAUCAUGCCGGCAACGAAGUAGCCUGAAACAACGGCUGAAAUAAUCACAGCCAAGUUCAAACGUCUGUUUGCUGUCUUGAGCCUUAAGUUGUUAUAUGUCACAUAAAGGCAGGGGCAGCAAAAUGAAUAUAGUCAGCAUAUAUAUCAUAGAGGAGACGUUAUCAAAGUAUAUAGAUAGUUGGAAUAUGUAUAUAUACCCUGAGUUGGCCUUGUACUCACGAACCAGGUCAGAUAACUCUUUUCUCUUCUCAAAAACAAGGCGUGCCUUUACUGGAUCAGCGGUUUUCAAGGCCUCUUCAACUAGAUGGAAAAACUCAUGUUCCUUCAGCUCACAACGCCUCUUGAUAUCCAUUCGAGCAUCCCUAGAUUCUGAAGAAAAGCCAUGCUGCGGAAUAACAUGGUAGAUUAUGUUAACAUUCCAUUGGCCUUCGCAUUCGAUACAUAAACUAUGCAUCAUACCAAGCUAAGCCCAAAAAAACAGAUAAUCAAUAUACAAGCAUUUGAGUCAAGCAAAUCACUGUGUGUGACAGCUCUUUUGCGCACCCCUAGGCCCUAGAUGGUAGGGUCUGACUGCAUACAUACUGGCUGACACACCAGAGGUACAAAAGUUCUACACACAAGGAAGAGUAAUCUGCUCGGUGACUAUACAGUACACAGCCUAUCUAAUGGCAUGGUUUACUGUUACCCAGUGAAUAUCUGCCAUCAGGUGCAAGGCUUUACAAGGAGGAGGGGGGCUGAUCAAAUAAAGCAUCCAAAUACGAUUCUGUCAUGUUGCCAGGUGAUGAAAAAUUUAAAGACAUGUUGGAAGUGCCACCUUAGAGGAAUUAAAUAAUCUUACUGAGCUGUUAUCCCCUUGUGCAGGUCUGCUAGUUCAAGCAUCCGAAUGUACUGCUGCCAUAUUUAAACUUGAAGCUAACAAGGAAUGAUAGAUACUUGAUAUGAAAUUGUGCAUUAAGAAAUAUAUAAGACAGGUCAAUUGUUUCCUAUUUUCAAUGCACCAAAUUACGAAAAACAGAAUUCGGUAGUAGAAGAAAAGGUAAUUUUGGAGGCUCUAUGAAUUUACCAAUCAACAAUGUUCAUUUGGGAAUCUUGUGUCCAGAUAACUUCAGGGCCUCAUCGUUUGGCAUAUUCAUAUGCUUAUCAGCUAAAAUUUGAAUUUUCAACAUUAGAUUUGGAGCUGAUUUUAGGGUUUUUUCAUCGAAGUUUAUUUUUCAGCCUUUGCUUUUAGAUCGCUAAGAACACAUAUAUAAAAGUUUUAUUUACAAAUUGAUUUUCGUUUGCAAAUAUGCCAUGCCAAACGAUGAGGCUGUCAAUCUUUUAAGACGAACAUGAUUUUCUGGCAGGUUCUUAUCCAAAAAAUUCAGGACGCAAUCUAAAAGAAAAUAACAUUGUAUACUUAACUGGUUUAGAGUUGACACUUACACACUACUGCUAAAAAUGCAAAUACUCCCUUCUCAGUAUCAUCAUUGCAAGCUAGUUUGAGGAGAUUAGGCCCUGAUUGAAGUUACUAACAUGUCUAUCACUCUUUCAAGCACACAAGUUAGCUACAUGCAUUUGUACUUUCAAGGAAGGAGCCAACCAAUUUAAAUUACCAAUCCAAUUGCUCUACAGUUGGAUUUCAAGCAUGGUUUGGAUUGUAGUAACAGAUAGAGCAUGCAUUAAGUGGGGGUACCUUGUUGUUCUUUAGGGCAGCAGAUGCAUCAGAGUUGAUGAGGCGCCGGAGGAGGGGUCCGUGCUGAAACCCUACCGGUGAAGCCGUCGCACCCAGACCCGGAGACGGCGAGGCCGCCACCGCCGCCGAGAACGCGCGGCGCAGCGCUACCCGUGCCGCCAUCGCCGUCCAACUCCAACACCCGCUGCUUCUAUUCUUCUUCCUCCUUUUUUUUUCCUUUGGGAAUUGGGACGCUUCCUUCCUUCGUAAGGCUCUCCGCGUACGGGCCGCCAUACCAGGUUCGGGCCUUCCCCUCGAGUUCAAGCCCAGCCCGAAAGUCGAGGAACAAAAAGGAUGGCAGAAUUCAAUCCAAACUCUGAAGGAAUAAGUCUAUUUUUCCUCCCUCCCUCUGUUGCCCUCGGUCAAACUGUAUCCCUCCUUCAACUUCAAUUUGAACCCUAAUAAAUUUUAGUAGGAUAACAAACAACAUGAUCUUACCAAUAACAACCUAUCAACAUUUGAUAGUUUCAGAACUUUCCUCAUAAAAACACUACCAUUUUUUUUAGAUUACACGGCAGACGCACACGCGCACACACACCACUACACAUGCAACACCACUCAACACCUCCACGAAUGCGUCACCUAACACAUUCUCUAAGAGAUGGAAACCAGCGGCACAUCCCUGAUCUCACUAAAUACAUCCAAAGUUAUUAAAAUUUGGCAAUGGUAAAACCUCCCAAAAUCUAGCAUUCUGACUUUCAUCUUGAAUGUAAGUUGCUAAUGCUCUGUUCGGGAGUGAGGGUUACGAACCCUCACUCUCCGCACGCAAAACGAAACAGCACGUGAUUAAUUAAGUUUUAGCUAUUUUUUUAAAAAAAAUAGAUUAUAUGAUUUUUUUAAAACAACUUUCGUAUAUAAAUUUUUUUAAAAAAACGCACCGUUUAGCAGUUUGAAAAGCGUGCGCGCGGACGAGGAGUUGGGAACUACUCUAACGAACGGUAUAAAGUAAAGUUAAGUAAACGUGGUGGAAUUGCUGCUAAUUAAUUUGGUUUUUUGUUCACCUUUAGGCACUCCGAGAACGAAAGGAACGUGCCUCAGUUUUUGAGGACCCUUCAGAUUGAUGCCAGAGCACCGUCAUGACAAACUCAAGUGUGUGAAGAUACUCAAUUUCUCGUCUGCAAAGAGUUUGGUUGAGCUAACAUGUCACAUUGUUGAAUCGGCGACAUCGCUCGAGUGUCUUACGCUGGACACAACGUCAGGUUUUCCUAGUAGAUGUUCAGUGGACAAGCUGGGUAAAUGCCUCUUGUUGCGCAGAGAGGUACCCGUGGAAGCUCAUAGAGCACUGGAGGCUGUCAAAACGUUCAUCAGGUUGAAAGUUCCUUCCAAAGUUGAGUUCAACGUCUUGGAGCCUUGCAGCCGGUGCCAUGCUGCUGUUGAGUGGCCUUUAGAUGUCAAAAAUGUGCCUGUGGUUCUACCAAAUGAUUAGUUCAUUAUUGCUAGUGUCAUGUUACAAGUUUUGUGUUAUUUUAGCCGUGCAUUUGUCCCGAAACUAUAUAUCAGCCCUGUCUACUGUUGAGGUUUGUAAUAUGACAUGGAUUUAGAACAUGUUACCUAGUGUAAUUUCAUCUUUUGAUAUUCUCUAUUUUCUGUGUUUGAACGAUUGUUGAUUUUUCAUUCAUCACAAUACUUAUUUCAAGAGAGCGUAAUCUAUUUUCUGGCACUCUUUAUUUUAUGCACUGAACAAAAAAAAAGAGAGAGUGAAAUGUAAUGCAAACACGCAGGUGUGUAAUGUGUUACAGUUUGUGAAAAAUGUGCGAAAGAUAAUUCAUCUCCAUACAUUUCGUUUUGUUUAGUUUUGCGGUGCAAGAAGUAGCUGAACAUUAUUUUUAGUGUUUGGUUUGCUGAUUUGAAGCGGUAUUCGUUUAUAUUGUUAACGUUUCUUGAUGUUUUUUAAGUUUUUGAAGAAUCGAUGUUUGGUUGCUAGUAUGGGAUUUCUGAAUAAUUUAUAGCCAUAGGCUGUGUUUAGUUCCAUUCACACUUCCAAAAAUUCUGUCACAUCAAAUGCUUGGACAAUAUAUGGAUCAUUAAAUGUGGAUAAAAAAAUCAAUUGCACAGUUUACAUGUAAAUUACGAGACGAAUCUUUUGAGCAUAAUUACGCCAUAAUUUAACAAUGUGGUGCUUCAGUAAAACAUUUGCUAAUGACAGAUUAAUUAGGCUUAAUAUAUUCAUAUCGCAGUUUACAGGCUUAAUCUGUAAUUUAUUUUGUUAUUAGUCUACAUUUAAUACUUUAAAUAUGUGUCUGUAUACUUAAAAAAAUGAAAAUGAACUAAACACGGCCAUACUUUAUCAUAACUUUAACAAGUCGAUUUUUUUAGAAACUUUAACGAUUAGACUUGAGCAACCUGAAAAUAACUAGAUUGAGAUGGCUAAAAUGACACAUGUUUCUUUACGUACGGCAAGUUGAGACGACAAGACGAUUAUUAUUCCUGCAAUUUAAACUAAAUAAUUUUCGUGUGGUGUAGAUGAAUAUAGCCAUGCUUAGCUAAUCCUUAAUUUCUCCUUAGAGAGAAAAGCACGGCAAAUUAAUAUCCAUAUCCAUAGAUAGAUAGAAGAAGAAUCGAGGAGGAGAAGGAGGAGGAUGGAGCAGCUCCGGCAGGUCGGCGAGGCCAUCGGCGGCGUCAACGCCCUCAUGGCCUUCCACGACGACCUCCGCUGCAUCAACCCUCGCCAAUGCGCCCUCCUCGCCCACGCCUACGCCCUCGCCUUCCGCGCCGUCGCCGGCGAGCUCCGCGCCCGCCUCCGCUUCCACGACCGCCUCACCAAAUGGAAGCCCCUCGACGAUCCCCUCCGCGAGCUCCACCGCGUCGUCCGCGACGGCGAGGCCUACAUCCGCCACUGCCUCCUCCUCGACCCGGCCCACUGGUGGGCGCGCGCCGCCGCCGCCACGCACGGCACGGAAUGCGUCGAGCACCACCUCCACAACCUCCUUUGGUGCGUCUCCGUCGUCGUCGAGGCGGUCGAGAACGUCGGCGAGGUCACCGGCUCCGACCCCGACGAGCUCGCCCGGCGGCGGCUGGCGCUGGCCAGGGACUACGACAAGGACCUGCUCGAUCCAAAGCUCUUCCGGGAGAGGCUCGGCGAGACGUUCCUCGCCACGCGUGAGCUCGCCGCCCGGAUGGACAUGGCGUGGAAGGAGGACAGGUGGCUGCUGUCCCAGCUUCUCGACGAGAGGAAGGGCCCGACAUCGUCGCCGGAGCCGCCAUUGACGCGGCAGGAGCACCGGCUCGCCGACCUCCUCGCCGCGCCGCGCGGGAAGCUGCACCCGGCGAGCGUGCUCCUGAUGAGCGACUUCCACAUGCGGAGGCGCCUCGGGGGGAACGGGAACCUCAAGGAGGUGCAGUGGUUGGGGGAGGCGUUCGCUGUGAAGCACGUCGUCGGCGUCGACGCCGAGGCGGCGGCCGCGGAGGUGGCGGCGCUGGCGUCGGUGUCGCCGCACCCGAACGUGGCGCACUGCCGCUACUGCUUCCACGACGAGGAGAAGAGGGAGCUGUACAUGGUGAUGGACCAGCUGAUGAGCAAGGACCUCGGCAGCUACGUCAAGGAGGUGAACUCCGCCAAGCGCCGGGCGCCGCUCCCGCUCGUCGUCGUCGUCGACACCAUGCUGCAGAUCGCGUGCGGCAUGGCGCACCUGCACUCCAACAAGAUGUACCACGGCAACCUCAACCCAUCCAACGUGAUCGUCAAGCCGCGCCAUGGCGACGCCUACCUGCAUGUCAAGGUCGCCGGCUUCGUCUCCGGCUCCGGCACGGCGAACGCGGCCAACCCAUGCAUCUGGUGCGCGCCGGAGGUGGUGGGGAACGAGGCGGCGGCGACGGAGAAGGGCGACGUGUACAGCUUCGGGAUGAUCUGCUUCGAGCUGAUCACCGGGAAGAUCCCGUUCGAGGACAACCACCUGCAGGGGGAGAACAUGAGCAAGAACAUCCGCGCCGGCGAGCGGCCGCUGUUCCCGUUCCAGUCGCCCAAGUACCUGACCAGCCUGACGCGGCGGUGCUGGCACGGCGAGGCGGCGCAGCGGCCGCCGUUCCACUCCAUCUGCCGCGUGCUCCGCUACGUGAAGCGCUUCCUGGUGAUGAAUAACCCGGAGCAGGCGGCGGCGGACGCGGCUGGAGCCGGGCCGGCGGUGGACUACCUGGACAUGGAGGCGCAGCUGCUGAGGAGGUUCCCGGAGUGGGAGGGGAACGGUGUCGCCGACGUGCCGUUCGAGAUGUACGCGUACAGGGUGAUGGAGAGGGACAAGAUGAGCAACGCGUGCAGGGACAGGAGCUCCGACUCCGGCAGCGACGGCAACUCGCUGUGGGGAGAUGACAGCGCCAGCGGCGGGUCCAGCACGACGGCGACGGACGCGUCGGCGUCGAGCCGGCCGCUGCUUGACCGGAGCGGCAGCACGAGGUCGUCGCCGCCGCGCAAGGUGGCCAUCGCCGCCGCCAAGGCAGGCAAGUGUCGCAGCGGCAUUGUUACUCGUCUAAAGCCUUCCUCCAAGAUUACAGCUAGCUCCAUGUCCGUGACGUGUGCAGGGCCGCCGCAGAAGUCGAGGUCGAUGGGCACGGUGAGGCCGCCGCCGGUCGUGGCCCGCCGAACGCCGAGGAUUAAGUCCGACGGCCACCUCAAUAGGGCGGCAAUUCCGCCUACCCGACGGCGUAAAUCCGGCGGGAACGCUUCAGACUCGGAGUUAGCUUAGCAAAAUGUUGGGUAGCCUUCUUUCUCAUAUGAUGAGAGGUUUUCACUUGUUUCAGAAAUACAGUAUCAAAACGUCAACAAUGAAAAAAAUUUCACUCUUGUAAAUAAUAAGCAAACGAAUGGAUGGAUGUAAUGUAAUACUACAGAUACUUCAGGAAUGGGAAAAGGAAAUGCUGGUAUAAAACGCACCAACAUUACUCGGUUUAAGUAGAGUAUUUAUCAGCAGAAACAAUCUUAGACAAAGAGAAGAAAAUGAUGAAAAUCAACUAUUAGCAGCACACAGCAUACUGCAUGAGUUUUCAAUCUCAAUACACCAUCACGACUGAAUAGACUUUAUGAGUUAGGCAAAUGCUUCAUGCUUUACAGCCAACUUAUUAAUUUUUCCCACGGGUCCAGCAACAAUUAGGAUCUGGAAACAGUAGUAGGAUAUACCAACAUGGGCUGAGAGGGCCUUAUGCUGAAUGGGAGCCUCAGUGCUAUGAUCCUUCUACCUGCCCUUCCUACAAAAACAGAACUCACCACCCUACAAAAAUAGCAGUUGAUAAUGACCAGCACUAACUCCAAUUUCUUCAGUCUGAUAUCCUCAUCUCUACUCCUAGAACUUUUUGCACAAACUCGUAUGUCACGAAUGCAAUAGCGAUAGAAGGCACCACCUGAUGAAGAGGCAAGCAAAGGUCAGCAUGUCAUAAACAAGCACUACGAUGAUGAUCCAUUAAGGUUGCAAAUAUUUGAAUUUUUCGUAGGAAACAUUACCUUCACUGAAUUGGGCACAAGACCCUUGUACAAAGCACCAACACCUUCAUAGCGAACAGUUUUCCUGAAUGCAUCGAUCAUACCAUUGUACUGGAGCGCCUCUUUGCCUUCUCCAGUAACAAUAGAUGCUGCAUUAUUCCAACCAACCAUCUGCAUUCUCCUCCUGAUGACAUCAAGAGGGUAAGCAACAGUCUGGCCUAUGGUUCCAGCCACAGCUCCACAUCCAAGCCUUGUAACUACAUGCAACUCAUUGUCCUUGCCAAGAUCAUAUGGAUUUGUCUGAAGCAGCCAGUCCUUCAGAGACUCGUACACAGCAAAGUUGAGGCCAACAUACGGAACCUGCAAGAAGAUGACAAAGAUAAUGUGGAAAGCACUUGUCAGCAAGGCACUAACGAGGCAAAGCUGUUAACUAAUUAAAGAAGAGACCUACCACUCCGAUAACAGAUGGAAGCCACCCUCUGUAUAGAGCACGGAAGCCUUCUUCACGGUAUACUGAACCCAAUGCAUGAAACAUACCACGGUACUGAUAAGGAGACUUUUCCGUCUGCAUAUAUGACAUUUAGAGGUCAAUAGACAGAAUAUGAAACAGAAGUAGAUUGAGUUAUGCUGUGUUGACGUUGUUGAUACAUUACCUGCACGGUAAUCCUACCCCUAACCAUAUCCAUCGGGUAAGUAGCAGACAUGGCUAUGAUACCAGCACAAGCACCAGCUCCAAGGCGCAAUAGUGGACUAAGCUGAGCAUCCUCUGUACAGCAUAGGAACAUGUCAGUGCUGAAUCCAGAAUUUUCUGUUAUCAACUUUAUAUAAUACAUCAACAAGAAUAUAAAUUCUCUUGUUCAAUUGAAGCAGAACAUUCAAGAAAUCUAUUUGUACAGAAAAAGACAUGAACAUCAGGAACCCUUCCAGUCAAAAAAAAAACAUCAGGAACUCUGCUCCCCAGCAUUUAAAUUGUUAAUUUACAUUUUUAGAACAAUACUAUACAUAAGGAACAUUGGAUAUUGUGUAAGCUCUAAGAUCCGUCACAGGCUCGCAGCAUGUCCAGCAGUGUUGCACACGUUGUCAUAUUACUGACAACUCUACAGCAUACAAAAUGAUUUGGACUCAGUGUGCAUAUACAGUGAGCACGGACUGAGAUAACGAGAACAGACACUGGAGAUAACGUGCGCUCAGAGUAUUGCACUACUUGCUUUGUACUACUCUUUGGAGGUGAGGUAUUCAAUCUUUCAAAGUUGCUAAUGGAUUCCAGUUUGGUAGGUGAUUCAGUUACAUAAGCCUGUCCUCUAAUAGGGAUUUAAAAAGUAAAAGGCAGACUUUGUUUUCAAGUUCAAGCGGAUGACCAACAACUUUUCUUGUGUGCUUUAUCGUCCUAAAGCAGGACUACAAAGGUCGCUAGCAGAAACAACAAAUAAUUAGCUGUACAAGGAAGACUUUGUUUCCAAGUUCAAGCUGGUGAGCAACAGCUUUUCUUGCGCUCAUCACUUCAUAUCAGGACUAAUAAGGUUUCUAGCAGAAAUAACACAUGAUUUAGCUGUACUGGGCCAUCUAGACGAAUGAAGGUUUUUGACUUAUUAUACAAGGCCUCACAAUCUUGAAAACGAUCAUAAUAUAUAUUGAAACUAAAAACUGAACAAGAGAUGGGCAAGCUGAGUAUAAAAAGUCUACAAUUGUAUUUUUCCUAUAGAUAAACGGAAAAAACCGUAGAGCAGUCAUGAGACUCAUUACGUAGUCAACAACCAAAGGUCUGCAAUAACAACAUGGUGUGUAAACACUUUCAAAAUAACUAAGAUGCAUACACAGGAAAACUAAUGUGUAGUAUGGUAAUAACGGAGAGAAGCAUACCAUUCCCUGUUUGUUGCCGAUAAAGCCAUAAAAUUCCACUGCAUAAAAUAACAAAGAAGGCAAGAAUACAAUUACUAGUGCUUUCAUGAAACAAAACCAUAUUAACAGUAGAGUAAAAAGGAAAUGCUUCUGACCAAGAUCAGGUCAAAGAAGACUCAUCAUGCAACAGAGAAAAGGUCUGCAAAGUGCAAAGGACAAAUAGCAAGUAGGUGGCAAGAGAGCAAGCAGUAAUGUAGGAUGACAGUAAUUGGAAACAAUAACAAACCUUGAUGCUUGCUCAUAGCUAAAAAACUUCACGGCAGAAUUUGGAACAAUUCUGGCACAAUUGGUACCAUUGCCCUUAAAAAGUCCACGGAGACCCUCUGUUCUCCAUAUGUACUUAAGACCUUGAAUUGUACCGUUGUACUUGAUACUGUGAGGGUUUUGGACCUGCAUUAGGAAAGAUAACACGAAUCAGGUGUUAGAACCAACUCAUACAAUUGCCCACACAUUUCCACGCAAAGUACUUGUACAAAUUUACAAUAUUAACAAGAACUGGACUAGGGUUUAGCACCAAGUGCAGUGUCUGUACUUCAACUAUUAAUACAAAUGGCUAUAUAUAUGUAGUGAAAGAGGUUAUGUUUCAAGCAAGCUCCGCAAAGUAGACAACAAUAGCAUGCCACCAGAUAAGAAAUGCAACAGCAAUGAAAAUAUCACCUGAAGCAGAAUCUUCAUUCGUUCGAGCGGAGCAACAGCAGUACGUGAUCUGUUCAACAAAAAAAGUAAAUAAAUAUUAUAAGCAUAAUUGUGUAGUUAGUUAGAAACGAUUGGUCCAAGUAGAUUGUCAUUUGCUGGUCAAGCUCGACAAAAUGCACCAGAAUGGAUAACGAGAAAAGAAAACCUGCACCAGGUAAACAUUCUAGUUGAUCCGUGUGUUUUGCUCAAACAUAAAAUAAAUAAUUUCUGCGUGGACUUCAGCUGACUAUAACAACACCUGAUAGCAACAUUUUUAGCCCAAGAAUAAAACAAGUUGCAAUACUCUUAAACCGAUCUUAUAUCAGAUGACAUAAUUAUGCAUAUAAUUGAUUAUUGUUCAGCUUUAGAUGCAAGUGCAUGACAUUAUAAAGAACAACAUACUCCAUGAAACCUAAAUUAUUAAACCAUAAAGGUGAAAACUAAUUGGAGUGCGACACAAACAUGUAAAGGGUCUGAUGCAUAAAGUGAGAAAUGACUCUUAUUUAGAGGAAUUAGACAGCUAUUAGUGAAACCAAACUGAGAUAUUGAAAUGUCCAGGCCAGCCGCCCAGAUGAUUUGUCGUAAAACUAUAAGAUAAUAACAGACAAGAUAAAGGCUGAAAAUUUAAUAGAGCCAUAGGAUGAAAAAGCCAACACCACCUUGUCAGACACAAUAUAUUGCUAGGGUGUUGGUGUACUUAUCCAGAUAAUAUAUUUUGCAUUGAAUACAAUAAUUCAAGUGGAACUUGGUUAGAUCACAGGCAAACCGAACCAACAAGACGGAAAUUUUAAUCCACCAGAUGGCCAGGCUAUACCAUGACAACGAGUUGGACCGUAAAUGCAUUCGUCCACAUGGCCCAGUGAACCGAAUCAACUAACGAGUCAACGAAACGAGAUCUGGUUACCUCGUUAGGGUUUAAGCGUGGCGAAUUCAUCAUAAGAGUCCAUAGAUCACACAUCUCCGGAACAGACGUUCAUGCAAAAACUUAUAACCGCACACACACAACAUAGCCGAAACAAAUCGCGACGAGGAAUUAAAAAAAUGGUAGGACACGAGAACCACAAAUCCAUCAAGGAUCAAACGCGAAUCUAAAGGAAACCACUGAAUCUAAUCCGGGAGCCGCGCAGAGAGAAUUCAACACGGAGACGAUGAGACGCGGGCAUGGAGAAGAACAGGGGGGAUAGAUAGAUAGAUAGAGAGAGAAAGAGUGAGGGAAACUCACACUCCACCGGCGACGCCACCGGCGAAGAGAGACUUGCAGAUGGAGAGCACCUGGUAACCAGGCCCCUUGACCCCCUCCCGCGCGAGCUUGGCCUCCUCCGCCAGGUUGACGAUGGUGGUGACCGCGGUGUCCCCCCUGCUCUUCCCCACCACGUCCUCCGAUGCCAUGUCCACCCGGCCCGCACCGCACCGGAUCGCCCGCUCGCCUCGCCGACGAGAUCAGCCCCCGCGCCCGUCUCCUCCUCUCGGCCUCGGGUUUUUGCGGCGGCGGCGGCGGCGGCGGCGGGAGGAGGAGAGGAGGGGAGAGGUGUGCGUGCGUGCGGCGGGGAGAGGCGACUGGUUGCUAAUUAACCUAUUUCGUUUUUUGCUUUUGUCACAAAAAUAAUAUAUAAUGAUAAUAAUAUUGCUGCGCGCACGCGGGGAACAGCUGGUCCAUCACUGGCUGCGGGUGGGCCCGAGGAGGGAGUGGGACCCACAUGGCGGUGACUCAGUACACUGUGGCGCUGUAGGUUUAGGGGCGCCGCCGGGGGGUUGCGAUCUCGCCGUCCGUGCUUAUCUCCCUCCGCCCCCCGCUGCCUCGGGAUGGACGAACGGGGCCCACCUGUCAUUGACACAGAGAGAGAGAGAGAGAGAGGAGGGGAGAGGCUUAACGGAAACCUAGAUCCGUCGCGACGGAGUGCCCGUGUUCCCCCUCUCUCUCCGGGCCUCUCCCUGCUUUAAUUUAUCUUUAUCGUGGAGAUAUAGAUUUUGUUGUUAGUUAAUAAAAUCUGAGAAGAAUGAUUUCUUCGGAUUUAAAUAACGUUGAAUUUAAACAAAUUUCUUCUGCUAAUUAGUGUUCAUCUCGUUGAUAAGGCCAUAUAGUCACCAAAAAAAAAUCUCUACUUUGUGAGACAUGUGUAAUUGCGAGCAUGAAAAUGACUCCAGUGCACACCUGUCUCCUGGGCUGGGCAUACAUAUUUCAUUUCAUUAUUUUGUUUAGUUUUUGUUCCUUUUUCUCCCAGCAUCGAUGGUAUAAUUCUUUGCACCAUAUAAUAUUCCAUCAUUUCCUUGGUGCCAAGAAGAAGAAAAAAAAGACAUUGCUUGGUUCCUAAUUAAGGGAGUUCGGUGCUCACAAUCGAUCGAUCGGUUGGUGAAUGACUGAAUAUCAUUUGGUAAUGUCGGUACGGUAUGUAACACUGACUGCACUUCAUAUAUGGUCUUAAUUUCGAAGUGGAUCCUGCAUCACACAUUUUAUGCGGAAAUAUGUGUGGAUGCCAAAAUGAACGGUCUAAUCAUUUACUUAUCGGAUCGUGUAUUUCCAUGGCCAAGUUUAAUUCUUUGCUGACUUUGAGAAAAAGAAAAGAAAAAAGUUGAUAGAAUGUGACAGACGUAGACUAAUAUUUGGCCUUUCCUGCUCAACUUGGGCCAAAAUUCUCGUUUUAUGGCUGUAGCAAUUCGAGGACCACGCAUCAGUGCGCAAAGGCAUUUGGCGACUGAUCCAUGGAUGAUACGCAUACUGCAAGUAUGUAACAGCGAUCACAAAUGGUUUUGCGUUGCGUUUUUGUGGAUGGGAUAAAAUAAAACGUCGUGGACAACAUACAUAGAUGGACGCGCGGCAAAAUUCAGGGGAAGGAGAUCAACGCCUCUGCAAUUUGCAGUCACAUAAUUUUCAUUUCAGUCGCCAUAUCAAUAAACUAGUGGACAAGAAUAUCUGAAUAUGUACUCGAAUGUAUACGUUGUCCAUUCAUCUAUAGUGCAAGCUGUUUUAGAUUUGUUCUUUGGUCAGAUUCAUUUGUUUAAUUAAGUUUGUAGAAAAACCAUAGCAAAAUCUGUAACAUCAAAUUGAUCUCACUAAACCCACUGCUGAAUAUAUAUAUAUAUAUAUAUAUAUAUAUAUAUAUAGCAUGUUUGUUUUGUGUUCAAAAUGCAACCAUACUUGGUUAAAUGAACAAGUUUAAUUCAGGGUAAAAUGAAACACUUACAGGAUAUAAAGUUGAGGGAACAGGAUAAUGAAGUAUGUGAUGCAAGAAUCCAAAGGUGGUGUGAUCGGCAGGUAGCCAUCGCAUGGCAAUGUGGCGGCCGGAGAUCGAAAGGGCGAGACACCGUCGUUGUCUCUCCGUUUUUCUCCACAAACUCUGGGAUAAGGCCGGGGAGGAGACCAAAAUCACACACCCCCAUGACACCAUGUAUACAAUGGUAUCGGGGACGGACGAAAAGAAAAAUAGGACUGAACAAAUUAGAUAAAGUUUUAACUUUCUUUGUAAAUAUAUGACAAAAAAAUUAAGAGGUUUCCCUCAAUUCCAACAUUGGUAUUGGAACUAGAUGUUGGUUCUAUGGUUUGGGUCCGCUCAGUAGAGCACCCACCACCCGUGUCGAGCGAAUUUAUUUUCCAUGUGAUUUUACUAUCCUUAAAAAUAUACCAUACUUUAUAAUGUAAAAUUUAAUAUCUCCGGAUACUAAUUACCUCGAUGUAUUUUUUCAAGACUAUAAAUUUCUUAAAUUAUAGUCAUACAUACGGAUGAGACACAAUGGUCAUGACAAUGCGUGAAGCCUGUUGAUGACUUCAAUAUAUCUCAGCACCACGUGCAAUCUCUGGGUUUGCGUAGAUAUAACUUGCACUUGGUGUACAUGGGUGGUGUGAGUUUGUGCGUAAGUUCAGAUACUACUAAGUUCUCAAAAAAAAAAAGUUCAGAUACUACUACAGCGUAUAUACGUGAAGAGUUGAGAAAAGAAAAAACAGGUGUUCAAGCCCCAUCGAUCCAUGACAGAUCCGCCACUAGGAAUAAGUUCACUUUAGGUAUCGUCCAGUCUAAUUUUUAUCUCUGCAGCACAAAACCAACUUACAAAACCGUGCAAAGAAGCUCCCUCAGCGGUAUAGUCGCUGGUUUUGGCUGACGUGGCGCCUACGUGGCGCUCCUUUGACUAGGUUUUCGUCCAACGUGGGCAUUGACGUGGCGCUUACGUGGCAAUUUGAUCCAAAAAAUAAUAAAACCCGUGGGACCCACAUGUCAGGUUUACACAAAUAAUAAAAAGUGGUGGGGCCCACACGUCAUCCUCACUACCCUCAUCUCUCUCUCCCACUUCUCUCUCUCCAGCCGGCGGAGCGGGGUGGGCGGCGGCCGGAGCAGCGGCAGAGCAGAGGGCGGAGGCGAGGGGCGAAGCGGGGCGGGCAGCGGCGGGUCGGUGGCCGGAGCGGCGGCGUGUUGUGGCCCACAACUUGUGGGCGGAGCGGCUGGUCGGCAGCCGGUAGAGAAGAGGACCGGCGGCGCGUCGUGGCCGGAGCAGAGGGACGGAGCGGCCGGCCGGCGGGGGAGAAGUCGCGGAGGUGGACGGAGGGGCGCGGGGCGCUGACCGGCUGGAGGAGAGGAGCUUCCCGCGGCCCGUAGCUGCUCCGCCCUCAGCUCCGGCCGUGGCCCACCACUCGUUCCACGCGUUCUCCCGGUGGUCGUUCACCUGCCCCUGCACGCCGCGCAGCGGGCUCCGCCGGUCCAGCACUGCGUUUUUCGCCAGCCGGUUGAACAUCCUCGCCACCGCCUUGUCGCUGCCCAGCCCAUUUGACACCACGCCGCCGCUGAGCAGCCGCACGUCGUCGCCGGGCCGGAAGCUGAUGUCGCGGAGGCUCCGCGUUGGGCUGCGGCUGAAGUGGACGCCCGCCUGCUCCAGCUCCGUCACCGACGGGACGAACUCGUCCUCCCGCUGCCUCUUGCGGCCGGUGCUCGGCGGAGGUGGUGGCGGCGUCCCAUGGAGGAGGCUUCGGUGGCAGACGUCGAUCGGGUGUAGCGCCAGGGCGUCGCCGGUGAUCAGCGGUGGGUCUCGCGUCAUCGACACGAAUCGGAGAACCAUGUCGUUGAUGACAUUAUCCGUCUGUCCAUCACACGGAUCAAAUCAAAUCGGUUCUUGGAUGAUUCUUGAUUUCUUGAUUGAUUGAUCGAUUCCGCGAUGUACCUAACGCUUUGUGCGGGCCGCGAACGACGGCGACGAGGCGCCGUCCUACUCGUAGCCCGCUCCGGCCACUGCCCAACCUGCUCCGCCGGCCGGCCGCUGCGCCCCGCUCGUAGCCCGCUCCAGCCGCUGCUCAACCUCCUCCUAUCGGCUUCGCGCGUCGCCGCCCGCUCGGCUCCGCCGGCCGCCGCCGCUCCGCACUCCUGCCGGCUUCGCCCGCCGUCGUCUCCCCUGUCCGCCUUGCUCUGGCGAGUUGGCAUGUGUUUAGAGAGAGGAUAGAGAUAAGAGAUGAGGCCAAUUGUGACAUGUGGGCCCAUGUGGGCACCACCAAUUUUUUAUUAUCUAUGUGUAACUAACAUGUGGGUCUCACGGGUUUUAUUAUUUUUUUCAGAUCGGAUUGCCAUGUAAUGCCACGUCAAUGCCACAUUGGAUGAAGACCUAGUCAAAUGAGCGCCACGUCAGCUAAAACUAUGGACUAUACUGCCGAGGGACCUUGUUUGUAUGGUUUUGUAAGUUUGGGGAUACGUUGUAUCCGGUUUUGUAUAGCAGAGACGAAAUUGGACUGAGCGACAAAUAGAGGGACCUGAAGUGAACUUAUUCCCCGCCACUACGGUACAAGCCCACAAGUCAGCUAGACAGAGUGAUGGGCCGAUAUGCACGUGCUUUGCUUACCUUUCGGCCCAUAUAUUAUGUUCUCUGGGCCUGUAGAGCAAACGAUCAAGCCCACGAUUAAGGAAAGUAGCACAUGGAUGGGCCCGGCCUGCUAUAUGCGAAUGUGGUCGUCGUGGGCCAGCCUAUCCUAUGUGUCCACUACUAACUACUAGCAAUGGAUUCCAGAUGGGCUUUCUCUGAUGAACUAGGCUUUUUUAGCUCAUACAGAUAUCCCGCGUAACUAUUCUCUCUCUUUUUAUAUUUUUUCUUUCCCAUGAGAAUAACAAUAAUAAUAAAAAACGAUUGCUUUCAUUCAAUUGACUAUUGACUAGACCACUCACUAUAUAUGCACCACAUGAACAAGCAUAAUAGUCGUACAAGACCACUGGCUCACUAUGCAAUAAGUUUAGGGCUUAAUUGUUUUGGGGGAAAAACAAAGUAUCUGAAUUUAUAAGGAUUACUUCUUUCCUGCAAGGUGAGGAGUAUAGAGAAAACAUAAUUUUUUUUCAUCCAUUCAUUUUUUUUUGAAAAAAAAAUCUAAUAAAUUAAUGUGCGCAAACAUUUAUAUUCCUUUAGUUUUUCUAUUUCUAUAGAUUCAAAUUCGUCCGAAUCAAAUAAGCCCUUACUAUUUAGUCCACCGUUCCAUAAAAAACCUACAUAGUACUCGAUGUGACGCAUCUUAGAACUGUGAAUCUGGAUAAACAUCUGUCCAUAUUCGUUGCACUAUAAUUUAUCACAUUCAGUAUUAGAUUUAUUUUUUCUAGACGGAGAGGGAUUACACACCAAGUAAUUAACCAAUGGAAGGAACGAACACGCAUACUUAAUUUGACUUUGAAACCAGCUACUAGUACGUGUACUGGCCUAUAUAUAAGGUUGGAAAUGUACAUAUGUUGGCCGUGCGAGCGCGUGGACAAGUCGAUGGAUCGGUCGGAAACCUAAAUUAACACACGUGCAAUGCGAAAAUGACCCAUAUCCCCAGCUGACCAGCAAGCAAGCUAGGCAGCAAACAAAACUACUACUCCAUGGAGAGGGAUGCAACAAUGUCCCGGUUCGUGCAGGCACGGAUGCAACUAUGCGACAACGACUUACUUCCCAGUCUCCAAGGGCCUUUUGUUCUCCACGAACCGAUCCACUGUAAGCUGCACCAUGCAUUGCAUGAUGAAAUCAAAACAGUCAAAAGCAAUAUUUUCUUUUCGCGAGGAGUCAAAAGCAAUAUUAUUUGCAAGCAUGUAACGUUGAUAUAUUUUUCAUAAACUUCGUCAAACUUAAUGAAGUUUGACAAAAAAAAAUGUUAAAGCAUCUUAUAAAAAAGAGUGACACGACAAUUUUAAUUUGCUACUCAAAUUAAAGAGAUACUUAUUUUACAAAUUAUAUAAGGCUAUGUUUAUUUGUGGAGCAAUUUUACAGACCUUAAGGAGCUACCAUGAGAUAAAAAAUUUAGUAUAAAUAUAGCCUUAUAUAAUUACUAAAAUAAGUAUGUACAUACGUAAGUAAGUACGUAUAUACACGUAUCCACCCGCGACAAAGACAGAUCCAUUUGUGAUUUCCGCAGAUAGCCUAGCCUAUAUCAUCCUCCUUCCCCCUCGAGGACCAAGCAUACCAUGGGCGGGCCUUUUAGUGGUCUGCCUGUGAGAUGAGAGGUUAUAUAUAUGUGAAAACCGUUUAUAGUGGUAUUCAUCGAAUCAAACAGUACUGUGCUACAAUAUUCACCGAUGACGAGUUGACGACCGAUCCAUUCAUCCAAUCCGGCCAAAUCGAUCGACAUUACUACGUACAUACAACUUAUGGUCAACAACAUCUGCAUGGACUCUUAAUACACAUUACCCGGACAGUCCAGAUAGCUACUGUACAGGUACUGUAUGCAUUGCAUCAGCGCCGUACGCACAAGUACCAUACGAACGUCGUGCUCCUAUAGUCCCUAGCCGUCGCUCACUAUAUAUACAAAUUAAAGUCGUUCCUCGUCUUAGCUUUGAAUAAUUCAAAAACCAAAAGAUCAAAACCAAGGGCUACAAAACCACUUUUAAUUUUACCAACAAAUUCAUCCCCCGUGUGUUAUGCGUGUUUCGCGGCGCAGACUAGUUUUUGGAUUAUUGUUACCAGGUUUUUCGUAUGGUCAACCUCUGAAAACAUCGUGUUAGUUACUAUAGCAAGUUCUAAAAAAAAAGUUACUAUAGCAGUUUUCGUUCUAGUCCGUAUGCCUCGUAUAUGAGCAUGUUCCUAGCUAGGUUUGUCCUGAUCGAUCGAAUUGAAAUGGAUUAAUUAUUGGUCAUAUUAGAUAUCAAUCUGAGGCUAGUGUCGUUUUCUACCUCUAGAAAAGACAUGAUGAGAGGGAAGGGGCAGCUUAAGAAAAAUUCCACUAAUUAAUGGUGGAGUGGCGUCUUGCUCAGAGAUCGUGUUGACGAAAAAAUCGAACACACUGGCCUGGGAGAUCUAUUUAGCUCCUGUGCAGGUCCAAAGGUUGAUGAGAUGCGGACGUGCCAGUCUGUUUGAUCUUGCAACUGACAAGAUAUGUAAAUAGUAGAUCAAAACAGUCGAUCGGCUGACAAGCCGAUGGAGCAAUCUCAGCCGAUAUCGAUAAUAGCCGAUGCCAAUACCAGCCGAUAGCGAUAGGGUUUUGAUAAAUCGGCUAUAUGUCCAAUGUAGAUGAUGAUAUAAAAGGCAAUCGGCUGAUGAUAAUAUAAUAUUGCAAUAUAAUCCAGUAUAAACCAAUCGGCUAGCAAUGAUAUGAUAAAUAAGCAUCGAUUCGAGGUUUAAAGCACACAUCGGCUGGAGGUCCGAUGUCAUGAAAUCCACGAGAUUAGAUUAAACGGUGAAACCUUUGUUGUCAUCGGCUAAAUCCAACUUAUAUGUAUAUGCAAUCCUUAUGAGCCGAUGCAACGUCCAGAUAACUCACCAGCUGAAACCCCGAUGAUACCCUUAUUGGCAAUCAAGAAGCAGGCUAGAGAUUAUGGUUCUAAGCACGACUUAGUAGAUCAAACUUAACUGAUGCAGCACUAAGUAUGAAAAGAAACAUAAUAUCUAGACAAUCAAGCCGUUGACUGAGUUUUCAGGGUGGUAGAUGUCUAAGCUAAUCUAAUCUAGCAACACGAUUUAGCCGAUACCGGCAGAAACCCUAAAACGAGAAGCAGCCAAUAGAGCUAAAUUGAUAUGCUAAGACUAGAUUAACAGAGACAUAUGAUAAAUAGGUAGGCAAAUAUAUCAUCCAAAGCAGAGCAAUCCAAGAGGUCGAAUGUAUUGAUGCAGCCUUGAAUGACGCCGACGUAAACGAUACAAUUGCCUGGGCCGGCGGAACAUUGGACUUACCCCUUAGCCGGAGAUCGAACACCGAUGCAGCCCCGCGUCAGGUGACAAGUCCCGCCGGACGAUAAAAUAAAGUAGAAAAGGUAAAAGGUGGCGAUGCGCCGAAUUGUAUUGAUCGUGGAGAUAGAUUACAUAGACCCCGGGUGUACAUAUUUAUACCCAUGGGUUAAUACAAGUCCUUGUCGGACAAGAAAGAAACUUUCCUAAAGAUAAAAGAAAAAGAUAAAGUCCUUAUAGGACACUAAACACACUUUCCUAGAGAUAAAAGGAAACUAACAAACUAUUCCUAAUUAAUAAAUAACUUGCCAUGCCGCAUUCUCUUUGAACUCGGUCUCUUCUGGAUAAGCUUCCUUUAGUAGAUCAAUUUCCUUAACCGAAUAUAGCAAGAAUCCGACAACCGACGACUUGACAACUCUCAUCGGCUAAUCUCAGGACUUCCAAGCCGAUGCUGACUCUAAGACAAUGACUACUCCGGGCUUACCAAAUUUCACUGUUAACACUAGCCCACCACCUUAUGAAGCUAGCCGUAAAAUCCAUGAUGUUUCUCCUCCCGACGGACCUAUAUAUUGUACAACAACAAUUAUAGUCAUGUUAUCGAGAUGCAUGCCAUUUUAUCAGCGCCUCAGUCCUACCUAUCCUAGCUAGCUCAGCUCGUUUGUUUAUAAGCAACACUUGUGCAAUUUGAAGUAACCAAACAAAGACAUACUACUACUAUAGUCGUAGCUAGAGUUCAGUAUUAAUGUACAGUGUGGCGUGAACGGAAUCAUUAUAUAUCCUUUGUGCUUAAUUAGCAGCUACUACUUCUAGAUAGUAGUACUAAGUACCGACAUGUGAUUCUUAUGCAUCGCAUAUGACCUGAUCAAGGCUAGACGACUUACUAAUAAAUUUCAAGCCUCCAACAGAGACUAUAUGCAUAUUUAAAUAGCUGAUGGUCAGUAAUUAAACAUGCACGACACAUCGAUCGUACUACGCUCUAGCUCGUGUUUAAUUGUCUGUCGAUCGAUCGAUCUGAUGUCUCGAUGCAAUGGCUUGGCUUACCGGCCGAAUAAAACAAACAAUCAAUUAGCUGUGGCAGUUAAUCUUUUCGUCUUUGCAAGGACAGACAUGGAGGCAGAAGCUGCUGGAGUAGUACACUGCUGCAUCGAGGUUUCAGAAACAGUGGUGUAACUGUAACGUACGUUCAGGCAUCAAUUUCUGACAAAAUAUGCAUCAAUUUCUGACCAAAUUGUGUCCGAUCUUACAUUUCGUUACCGAGUGAAUGCAUGGUUCUGACACAGCACUGUGUAAUUCUACUACUACUACUACUGUAUAGUACCAGUACAUGGACGACUCUGAAGGACUAAGAUUACGAGGGCAAGAGCAAUGCAAGACACUCAUUUAGCUGGUGUUUGGAUCAAGGACUUAACUUUAGUUUCUGUAUUUAGACACUAAUUUAGAAUAUUAAAUAUAGACUACUUACAAAACUAAUUACAUAAAUGAAAGCUAAUUUGCGAGACAAUUUUUUUAAGCCUAAUUAAUCUAUAAUUAGAGAAUGUUUACUGUUGCAUCACAUAGGCUAGUUAUGAAUUAAUUAGACUCAAUAGAUUUGUCUCGCGAAUUAGUCCAAGAUUAUGGAUGGGUUUUAUUAAUAGUCUACAUUUAAUAUUUAUAAUUAAUUUUCAAACAUCUGAUGUGAUAGGGACUUAAAAGUUUUAGUCCCAUUUAAACAGGCUCUUAAUAGGCCUCAGUUAUCAACUAAGCUCAAGGCCCUGACAGACUACAAGCUCCACAGUGUAGGCUGCAUCAAGUAGGGUCUAUCGUUACCUAGCACACGUACGGAUUCGGUGAGACCAACAACGGUACGAGGGCACGAUCGAUGAUGCGAUGGCGCAAGGUCCACACAUCUUAAUCCCAUCUGAAGAACGCGUGACCCUGCUGAGGCACGCUCUUCCUCCUAAGGGACUCGAACACGGAGGACAAUAGUCGAGCUUGUGCAUCAGGACAAAAUGUCAUAUCCUCGCAGGGGCGGAGGUAGACUAUGAGAGAGGAUGCCUAGGAACCCGGUUAAGAAAAAUUUUUAGUUAUAACUCAUUGAUUUUUACCAUAUGUGCACCUCCUCAAUACAAACUUAGGCACACGCAUUAGCUUAAACUUGAUCUAAAGUAGAGUAAAUUAAGCAAGAGGCACCCUUCUCCAUUUCGUUAUAGCUCCGCCCUCGCAUCCUCGCAUAGUGAAGGGCCUGAGUAGCAACCAGUGAGAAUAUAGAGAAGCUGAUUUUCAUAGUUUUUAGUUUAUUUUCUGGAUAAUGCAGCUAUAAUUUCUCAUAAUCAAAUUUUUUGAUUAUGGGAUAAGCUAUAUCUACCAGAAACGUCUCUCCAUACAUACUCUAAAAACAAGCUAAAUGACUAUCUCUAUACAAUUCAUCUGAUAUUAUCCCUAUCCUAAAUUAACACUUUAUAUAUGAACUAGCAUGGUGGCCCGCGCAGAUUGCACGGCUAGCAUCAUUAUAUUUUUCGUCAUAUAAUAACAUAUUUUUUUUUGAAUGUAUUAUUCAAAUAUAUUAAAAUGACAACAUAUUUUAAUUUUUUUACUACCUUUAGAAAACUACUAAUGUAUAAUAUUCAUAUUGUAUUUUAUAUACGUGUUAGUUAUUAAUUAUUUCUAAAAUCAAAUUUUAGUUAUUUGUAAAUUAUAUUCCUAUAUGGACACUAGGCUCUUCUUCCUAUAUUAUUUAUUUUUAAUUCUGAAUUUUUAUUAUUUCUAAUUGUAUUUCUAUGUGGACUCUAAACUCGUCUUUCAAUAUUCUUUAAUUUUUAAUUUCGAAUUUAAGUUACUUCUAAAUUGUAUUCUUAUAUUGACUUUAGACUCUUCUUCCCAUGUUUUUCUAAUUUUGAAUUUUAGUUACUUCUAAACUUUACUUUUAAUUUUAUUAUGUUUAUUCCGAAUUUUAGUUAGUUUUAAAUUCUCAUAUGGACUCUAUACUCUAAUUAUAAUAUUCCUUAUUUUUAAUUCCGAAUUUCUAUUAUUUCUUAAUUGUAUUUCUAUAUGGACUCUAUACUCUACUUCUAAUAUUCCUUAUUUUUAAUUCCGAAUUUCUAUUGUUUCUCAAUUGUAUUUCUAUAUGUACUCUAUUCUCCUCUUUCAAUAUUCCUUAUUUUUUAAUUCCGAAUUUCAACUAUUUCUAAAUUGUAUUUCUAUAUGGACUCUAUUUUUCUUUUUCUCUGAUUAAUAUGGGAAUUUCUAGGCCGUGAGAGUGAACGUGGACGCUCCUUUUUCUAUUCCUUUAAUAAUAUAAUAGAUUUAGACAUAGGUAUAUCCAUAUUCAUAUAUAAAAGUAAACUUAAUUUAGAAUGGAUGGAGUACUAUAUGUCAUCAGUAUAAAUAAAUACAACUAGCAUGGUGGCCCGCGCAGAUUGCGCGACUAGCAUUAUUAUAUUUUCUCUCAUAUAAUAGCAUAUAUGUUUUCUCAUUAUAUUAUUCAAAUAUAUUAAAAUGACAACAUAAUUUUAAAUUUUGCAAUAACUUUACAAAACUACUAAUGUGUAAUAUUCAUAUUGUAUUUUAUAUACGCGUUAGUUAUUAAUUAUUUUUAAUAUCAAAUUUUAGUUAUUUGUAAAUUAUAUAUAUUCCUAUAUGGACUCUAGACUCGUCUUUUAAUAUUUCUUUUUUUAAUUCCAAAUUUUUUGUAAAUUGUAUUUCUAUAUAGACUAUAUGCUCUUCUUCCAAUAUUAUUUAUUUUUAUUUCUGAAUUUUUAUUAUUUCUAAUUGUAUUUCUAUGUGGACUCUAAACUCAUCUUUCAAUAUUCUUUAAUUUUUAAUUUCGAAUUUCAGUUACUUCUAAAUUGUAUCCCUAUAUUGACUUUAAACUCUUCUUCCCAUGUUUUUCUUUAUUUUGAAUUUUAGUUAUUUGUAAAUUGUAUUUUUAUACGGACUCUAAACUCUAAUUUUAAUUUUAUUAUGUUUAUUCCAAAUUUUAGUUAGUUUUAAAUUCCUAUAUAUACUCCAUACUCUACUUCUAAUAUUCCUUAUUUUUAAUUCCGAAUUUCAGUUAUUUCCUAAUUGUAUUUCUAUAUGGACUCUAUACUCUACUUCUAAUAUUCCUUAUUUUUAAUUCCGAAUUUCAGUUACUUCCUAAUUGUAUUUCUAUAUGGACUCUAUUCUCCUCUUCUAAUAUUCCUUAUUUUUUAAUUCUGAAUUUCAGUUAUUUCCUAAUUGUAUGUCUAUAUAGACUCUAGUCUCCUCUUCUAACAUUCCUUAUUUUUUUAAUUCCGAAUUUCAGCUAUUUUUAAAUUGUAUUUCUAUAUGGACUCUGCCUUUUCUUUUUCUCCGAUUAAUGUGAGAAUUUCUAGACCAUGAGAGCAAACGUGGAUGCUCCUUUUUUUAUUCAUUUAAUAAUAUAAUAGAUUUACAAACUUACCCAUAAAACCUAGACGUGCACAUACAGAAAGGAUACUCCUACUACUAACGGGCAUACAAGGACGCAUUGUGAAAAUCUGAGAUGAGACGGCCUUACUUGCAACAACUGAAUUAAGAGCAAGUUUAAUAGUAUAGCCAACUACUAACUCCAAUUCAUCUAUAGCCAAUCUAAUAGCUCAUUCAUACAAUAGCUAUAUACUACACUAUUAAUACCUGGUCCCACCUGUUAUACGCACACUGUAUCUUGGAGUCCGUGCUACAGCUGGCUACAAAUCUGUAGCCCGCUGCUCUUCUCUCUUCUCAUUUACCUCUUUAAAAUAAGUUUAUAGCUGGCUUAUAGCCUGCUAUUGUACAUGCUUUAAGGACUACCAUCAGGUUUUUUUUUUUUUGCC
rnacentral:lncRNA from 1 species